rnacentral:lncRNA from 1 species
AAAAUUAAGAUGUGAAAGGAAGGAAAGCUAGAAGAGAGCCCUCUUUCUUUUAGUGGUGAUAUUGGUAUUAGUAAGUUAGCCGGCUACUACCGGUAAAUAUCUUUGCAUUCAAAGUGCGGGAACACUUGUCUAAAACGAAUACUUUUAGAAAGAUUACAGGCAUAUUGCUUCCAUACCAUUGGCUUAACACUACCAGCAUAGGGAAUGAAAUUGUGAAAAAAUAAAGGGUUUUCCAUGGCUGGUUUAUGGUGUGGUUGGGCUUGGCAGGUUCAUGAGCUUUUUUGCAAAAUAAGAUUCUUGUUUAAAUAGGAAAUUCUUUGAUACUAAAAUUAGUAAGUAUAGGAGGAGUACAGAGUGUGUGAAAAUAAAUAUAUAAACAAAGAGUUUCUGUGUGAGAAUGAAAAAGACUAUUUUAGUAUCUCUUGUAUAAGUUGGCUCUAGUUUGUGUGGCUUAGAACUGAUAUCUGGCUAAAGCUUUCAAUGGCUAAGAGUAGCUUUGGCUUUUUUUGUAUGGAGACUGGGUGUAGUCUCUGAACUUAUCUCAUGGAGAAGAAAAAUAUUUUCAUAAAAAAAUUAAGUCAUUAGAUGAUAUGCCUUGUUUGUUAUUAGUGGAGAUGUUGGGGUCAAUAUUUUCUUACAAAUUCGAGUCAUCUUGCUUGUUGUUCCAUGAGCUCCUAUGAUAGAAAUGUUGGCUACAUUAUCCAAGAAAAGUUGUGUCUGCACCUCAUAAAAAAAAAGUAUUGCAUGCAUAGAAAAUAGUGCGUGAAUGGAUAAAUCAAAGGGAUCUUAGUGUAGAGAUUUUUAAUGGAGUAAUAAAGAUUUUAAUAAAAACAUGAAAAUUUGUUCAUGGAGUUAUGUUUGGAGACAUGGUAUCUUAUAAUAGAGAUUUUUUGUUAGAGAUAGUGAAGAUAAAGAGAAAGUUACUCCUUUUAUUCAAAAGUUUAAAAGAUAGUGAAAGAUACCAUUUUUUAGACUUUCCUAAUCUCAAGUAAUGUGUUAAUGGAGAUUUUUUUUUCCUAUUUGUUUAAAUUGCAUCACAUUCUUCAUAAAUUAUUGAAGAUAUCCCUUAAAGAUCAACUUUUUUAUCUUUCUUUUCAAGGCAUGAUAUUCUUCAAUGUCAUGACUGUAAUCAUGGUGAAAGUGAGAGAACUUGUUAGGAUUCUUUAUGUUAAUACCACUAUUCAUGAAAUAUAUGGAUAUCGUAUAAAAUUUCUUCCCUACAUGGAUCCAACACCUUUAUAUGCAUAGUGGUGAAUGGUGCGGAUAGGAGCUCAGAAAAUAAUAAGAAAUCAUAAAUGGAUCCCAUGGUGUUUUUCUUGAAUGUCUUUGUAGGAGAUUGGUGACAUUGUGGAGAUUCUGCCCUCUAGAAAUACAAGUAUUCUUAUCUGAUCAUACUUGCUUCUUCCACUUAAAUAUGGUUUUUUAUUACAUGUUUUUAAUUGACAAAAAUUUUGUCAUGAAAAGUAUAAAAGCAUUCCCAUAAUGAAUAUUUAUAGAAUCCACUUAUUAGAGCCUCAAUGGCGAUAAGUUCACGUAGAUUCUUCAUGUUUAGCAUUUAUUUGUUGAAUCUCUAGAUAUAUGUUUUGUGCUUUUAUUCUCCUGUUGUGUAAUGGUGAAAAGCUUAAUCAUGUUAUUUUUACUUGGUAUACUAGUGCUAAAAUAAGAGGUUAGCUUAACAUACAAAUUAUAAAGAUCAAAUAUGAAGCCAAGAUCAAUACUGUGAUAUCAUAUCAAAGUAGACCAAUAAAAUAUCUUAUAAGUUGUAGGAGAGCAUAUAGAUAUUAUUUUCUCAAAGAGCAUGUGAGCAAAAAUCAAGGGAGGAUUGAUGGAAAUAGUCAUGCAUAUAGUUAAGAUCUUUUAUGAAGUGCUCUUUAUAACAAGAGUAGUUUUAUUAAAAAGUUGAAGUAUUGUGCAUAUUUUACAUGUUAUUUUUCAUGUUUUUUUUUCAUGAAACUAGAGUUAUCAUUAUCUUUUGGUGCAUAUAAUGGAUUAGUAUGUUGUAUUCCUUAUUGAUGAAAUGAAAGAGUGUGAAGCUAUUAUUGUAUAACUAGAACAAUAUUGUUGAGCACCUAUACUUGAUGGGUGAGUUUCUGAAGACCCAAAGUUCUUAUGCUAAGGAGAUCGAUUACUCUCUCUCUUGUCCUAAAGUUUUGUCAACCAUGAAAAUUGCUUUUGGUGAGGAUUGAAAGAGAAUGAACUAGCUUUUUUUCUUUUCCCAUAAACGACGCCAUUAGUAAGGUUAUGGAUUUAUCAUGGUUGUGUCCUGAUUGAUAAAGUGGCUAGGGAAGGUAAUUAUGAUUGCCAAUUAUAUACUUAACAAAGUACCCUAUAAAAAGCUAGAAAAUGCACCAUAUAAAUUAUGAAAAGGUAGAAAGCCUUAUAUAAAUACUUCAAAGUGUAUUAGUAUCAUGCAAAAGUGGCAGUACUUGAUCUUAAAAAAGUCAAGAUAGGACCUAAAAACAUGGAUUAUAUUUUUAUUAGAUAUACUUAUAAUGGCAAUGCAUAUAAAUUUCUUAUACACAAGUCAAGUAUUAAGAGUAUUAAUCCUGAUACUAUUAUGGAAUCAAGAAAUGCUACAUUCUUUGAGGUUGUGUUUCUAUUUAAAGAAGUAUAAGAAACCACUCAAUUGAGAGAAUGAUUAAGACUAGCUCAUGUAGUUAUCAUCAAUUAGAAGUUGAUGAAGUUGGGCCUAGAUAAGUAAAAAGGAAAAAAACCAAAAUGUUUUGGUUCUGAUUUUCUAACAUAUUUGCUAAAAAAAUGAACCUCUAAGCUAUUCCAAAGCAAUGUCAUGUCCUGAAGCUUCUUAUUAGAAGGAGAUAAUUAAUUGUGAGAUUGAAUUUGUUAUGAAUAUUCAUAUAUGAAAACUAGUGGAUCUUCCACUAGGAAGUAAACCAUUAGGCCAUCAAUGGAUCUUCAAACAAAAAAAAAAACUGAUGAAAUUAUUCAAAAAUAUAAAGCAAGAGUUGUUGUUAAAUGAUUUAAAUAACAAGAAUGUGUGAACUAUAUAGACAUAUAUUCUAUAGUAUCAAAAAUAACUUUCAUACAGACGUCAAUAGUCAUUGCAACUAUUAAUAAGCUUGAAAUACAUUAAAUGAAUGUAAAUAUAGCUUUUUCAAAUGGUGGCCUUGAUGAAGAUGUUCACAUAAAAUAACCUGAGGGUUUAUUUUAAAUGGACAAAGAAAAAAAUUGUGUAAGCUUGUCAAAUCAUUGUAUGGUUUGAAAAAGCACCUAAAUAAUGACAUAAAAAAACAAAAUUAGUUAUCAAAUGAGUUCAAAAUCAACAAAGUUGAUAAAUGCAUUUAUGUGAAAAAUAUAGAUAAAGUUUAUAUCAUUGUACAUCUUUUUUAAGGACAAAAUACUGAUUUUGUGUAGCAAUGAUCACAUAAUCAAGUCUAUUAAGAAAUAUUAAAUAAUAAAUUUAACAUAAAAUACUUGGGUGUUGUAGAUGUUAUAAUAAUAAUAAAAAUUACAAGGACAUCUAAUGGAUUGAUAUUGUUUCAAUCUUAUUAUGUAGAGAAAAUUCUCAAUAAAUUUUCUAAAGAUGACCAUAGCCUAAUCAAAGCACCAAUUAAAUAUUUUUGCAUAAUUAGGAGCUUGAUAUAUUUUAUAAAUUGCACAAGAAUUGAUAUUGCAUACUCAAUUAACAAUUUUAGUAGGUUCACCAACAAUUCGAAUAUGUAUAAUUGGAAAGCAAUAAAAAAGGUCCUCAAAUAUUGGAGAUACACCUUAGAUUAUGAGUUACUAUAUUAGUUACCCAACAAUAUUAGAAGGGUAUAAUGAUGCAAAUUGAAUAUUUGAUAAUAAGGAUUUAAAAUUUACUAGUGGAUUUAUCUUUAUACUGAGUAAAAUAUUUGUGUCAUGGAAAUCCUCUAAAUAAAUGUGUAUCACAAUAUCCAUAAUAAAAUUAAAGUUUAUUGUUUUUAAUAAAAUUAAAGAAAAAGCCAAGUGACUUUGGAAUUUCAUAAAGAAUAUCUUAUAUUAGCAAAAAACAGUGCUAGUUAUUCGUGUCCAUUGCGAAGUCAGUCUGCAAUUAGAAGGACACAAAGUAUAAUGGUAAUUCUAAACAUUUAUAUUAUAGAUAUAAUAUCAUUAACUACUUGCUGUUAAAUAGAAUAAUUUCCAUCGACUACGUAAAGUUUGUCGCACCUGACAUCAUGGAUACAUUUAAAAAUUAAAUAUUCUUGAAAGAAUAUGUUUUUGACAUCUUAUUCUUAGAUAGGGAAUGGUCUUGCUUAAGGAGUCGCCACCUAGUAUUAUGGUUGCUAGGAACUCUAAUUGAUCAACAAAGAUUCUAUGGUACGGGGAUGGUUACACAAAAAGAAAGAUAUUAUCACCUCUUAAGCGUCCUACUUGAGGUAAAAUGUAUUGCUGGUUUUGUCUUAAAUUGCUAAGAGUUUGUUAGUUUAUGCUAUGAUGGUCUGCUUGUAAUAUUCUUGACUCUAGCGUCAGUGAAUAUUCAACUACGGAUAUUUCCAACUCUGGCGUUGGUAAAUAUUAUAUAGUAAAAAAAAUGGAUGGUAUUCCUAACUCUAGGAUUAGUGAAUAAACCAGUAAAAUGAAUUUAAAUCAAUGUAUACAUAUUCUUUUUAUUUUUUAAAAAGAAAAAAAAUAUAUCGCAUAUCAAAUUUACAUUUCACAGUAAAAAUCCCCAGAUCAAUUAUACAGUGAAAUACCAAAAAAAUUUGAGGGACCCACAAAUAAAUUAAAAAAGGUCCACGAAUUUUCUGAUAUGCGGAAUGACCUGUUUGACUAGAUAUCAAAAUAUAAGAGGAUGAAAACAAAGGGGCAAGGCAUAAGGGUGUGUUUUGCCAAAAACACCCUUGGCCCAAAAUAGAUUGGGCUGGCUGGGCCGAGGCCCAAGCCCAUCUUGGCCUCAUGUUAUUUUUGAUUUUUUGGGGGGGGGUCUGACCCAGCCUUUAUGGGUUGGGCUGGACCUAGUGACCCAGCCCAGUCACGGGUCCAAACCAGUGGCCUGACCGGUUACUAUUGCAGGCAUGCGUGAAGUUGUAGGACAAGCUAGAGGUUUAACGCCUAUCAUUUUAGUGAUGUCAAGAAGAUUUAAGAUAUUUUUAUAUUAUUUGAGAUGAAGUACUUCAUUGUUUCUUUGUGCUUCAAUUUCAAAGAAGAGAAAUGAAGCCAAAAUAUUAGUUUUUCUGGUUUUAUAGUAGAUAAUUAAAGCUAAUAAUGAAGAGAAAUUAUUAUGGUAAUUGUCAUAACCCAUUUCUUUCCAAAAUAAAUACCAAAAAAUAAAUAAAGGCUAGCAACGUAGAAAAAACAGGCCGAGGAGGAUCUAAAAAAUACACGAAAAUCAAGUUGUAAUUUUGGAGGAAAUUCAAGGUCUAAUUGUACUUCAUUACACCUAAAAUUAAAGAAACAAUGCAAAUUAAAGGUCAACUUAAUUGAUUAUUGGGCUAUUAAGUCUAAGGACAAAAAUUAAGUCUAAGGAAAUAAUUAAAUUUUCAAUAUGCCAAUUUGAUUUAAUCAUGAGCUAAAUUGAAGGUUUAAUCAUGUUUAGGAAUUAAUUUGGGUCCAAUUAAAGGAUUUAAUUAGGUAUAAGGACUUAAUUAUAUUUUAAAAGGGUCAGAUUAAUUUUAUUAGGCGUUUAAUUGGUGAAGAAUUAAGUCUAAGAGUCCAAUUUGGGCUCAAUUGAGAAAACUAAAAUUUUAGAACACCAAAUUUAAUUUUUACCAUGUCAAAUAAUUGAAAUUAGGGGUAAAAUCUCAAAAAAGUAAAGUUUUUGGGUCAAAUUGAAAAAGUUCAUAGUUAAUGAUCAUUUUGUAAAAGGCGUCGAACUAUAGGGGCUUAAUUGAUUGAAACCAGGGUGAAAAUGAAAAAAUUAAAAGUUUAAUGGUCAAUUAGGGGCUAAAUUAAAGAAAUCUGAAACCAAGGACCAAAAUUGAAAGGCUCCGAACUUCAAGGUUAAAAUUGAAGUUUUAUAGGGACUAAAUUGCAUUAAAUCAAAAGUUUAGGGUCAAUUAGAGGUGCAAUUAAAAUAAAUCAAAAGUGAAAGGACUAAAUUGAACUUUGGCAAAAAUCCCUAAACGAUGUCGUUUUCAAAAAAAUAAACCAGACGAAUCGUCGUCUGGUUACUGUUCAUUAUCUUCCUUCUUUUUAGCCUGAAAAGACUACUCAUUGGCUACUUUGUAGGUGCUUUUAAUGCCUUUAACCUUCACCAAAUUUAACAAAACAUUAACCAAAAUGAUCACCUGACAUUUCCCUACAACCUCGUAUGAUCCAUUCAAUCUGAUUGAAAGUACCAUAGUGGCCGAGAUGCCAACCUAAAUUUGUCAAUUCAGGUAGCCUUGAAUUGUCAAAUUUGACAGUGUAUGGUGCCUACUUUGAAUCAACAGUUAGAAUCUUUUCCAGCUGAAUCAAGGGCCAAAAGUUUUUUUCCAAUGAAGAUAAGAUUACCCUCUUCCAUCCCCUAUAAAUAAAUUUCAAUUUCAUGGUAUGAGCAUUAAAAAAUCAGUGUACAAAGUUGGCAAAAAACUAUUUUUUUCUAGAUUUUUUUCUUCUCCUUUGUCGGCCAUACUUUUCCCCUCUUUUUCUCCACCUCCGGCGAUGCCAUCACCUUCAGCCACCAUCCACAAUCUCCCCUAUAACACCAGCAACGCCUUUAGCCUCUCUCCUCCUCUAGUCAGACGAGUUUUCCCCUUUUUGUCCUAAAAAACUCCUCUCCUGGCUACUGCAUUUUACAGCUGGGUCCAGCCCGAAAAAAAGAAGAAAAAAGAAAACCCAAGUCUUCUGGGCCGAGAGCGGCCCAGUUAGUUUGGUCGGCCAACCUUAUAAUAACAAAACAAAAUUUAGAAAAUUCAAAAAUCCUUUCAAAAUGACUCCCAAAUAUCAAUGCAGAUCACUGUAUAACUAGGAAUUAUUAAUUAAAGAAUUCUUAACUUGUUUGAAAUGAACCCAAAUCAAACUCUAUGCUAAAUAUGAGAAUUAAAAAAUGAAUCUAGACUCAUAGUCCACGCCAGCUAAUGAAGAGACGUUUAUUAUAAUUUAAUUCAAUAAAAAUGACUCCAUAUCGACUCUAAAAAUCAAUGCAGAUCCUUCAUGGACAAGACUUAUUAAAGAUUUCUUAAAUUGCUUGAAAAUGACUUCAAACUCUAUGCUAUCCUAAUAGGAGAUUGGUAGCCCUAAUCAUUAUAUUUUUAGUUUCUAAUAUAUCUAUUAAUGAAGUUAUUGUAUCAUAAAACAAUACUAAAAUGUUAAAAGUGAUUUAAUUUGUACCCAAACAAUUUUAUAGACAUGAUUUAUUGAGUGACUUAAUCAUAAAAUUUGGAUAUCCAUCAACUCAAUUUUAAGUCUGUAAAUAUAUAUAUAUAUUUUUUUCAUGACUUCUACUUUUGAAAAAUAAAGUCAUAAAUACUUAGACAUAAUUGUAUAUUCUCUUCUUUUUUAAAAAAGAAAAAGAAUAUAAAGCAUAACCAUUUUACAAUUUGUUACUUUGAAAAUUUUAAUAAAAUAGAAGAAAUACAUUAAAUAAAGUCAUUUUAAUACCUAUGAUAAAUAAUAGAAUGAGAAUAAAAAAAUAAAUUGAGAAUAAUAAAAAAAAGUGGAGUUAGAAUUAAUUUUAAAAGCUCACCUACUAGCUUAGAAUCUUGGUAGAAUGGUUCCUUGAGGCAUGGAAACCUCUUCGAUUGAGUUAGUAUUUGAUUAUCAACACACUUAAUUAUUUAUAUAUUAGUGAAUUAAUAUAAAAAAAAUUCAGAACUUAAGCUUUUAAAUUAGAAUCACUUUUCAAUAUUUAGCAAUAGGUUCCUUCUCUAGUUUUGAAUCUUGCCAACUUCAUUUUUUUUUAAUUAGAAACUAGAUAAAUAGCCUACGAUAUACUAUCGAUCAAGUUAAUUUUUUGCUAACAUGAAAAAAGAUGUUCAUGCGAUAUCAAUAUUUUUAAAGGAGUAAAAAAAAUUAGGAAUUCGAUUACUGAAAAAGAUUACACGUGUUGUUAGAGCAAUGACUCGAAAAGCAAAAAUAAAACACCAUGAAUUAAGCAUCUCAUGCUAAUUCUCACGUAAAUGAAUAAAUUAUGAAUGAAUAAAAAAUUAAUCUCAAAUAACUUUUGGUUAACAUGCUUAGAGAAAUUUAAGACACUCUAAAAACUCUAUCCUACAUUAAAAAAAAAAAAAACAAGUUUUUCUAGUUGUUUAUAUAGUGAGAAUAUAAAAGGUUAAAAUUAAACCCAAAUAAAACCCAGGCUUUUACAGGAGAGAGGACCUAAUCUAAGUGAUCUUUGAGCUUAAGCCAAGUGCGUGCACACAAGACUCAGCUCGUGCACAAGCCUCGAGCUUUGAACCUUGUUUAGGCCUAAGUUGAGGCAUAUGUUUGAGUUUAUUAUAAAAUAAUAUUUGGGCUAUAAAAUAUUUUUUUUCCAACCUAUUAUAGGCUUGGAUUUAAAUUUAUAAUUCUUUGACCUAUAAAGGAUUUUUUUUACCAUCCUAUUCUUUUGUCAAGUCCAUGAAUUAAAGAAUUUGAUUAGUUUAUUUCGUAAUAGUUUCUUAAAACUUAAUAAUUUUUUCAACUUAAAAACUUCAACUUAAGCCAAAAUAUUAGGUUUUUUAUUUAUAAUUAAAGCUAAUAAUGAUGAGAAAUUAUUAUGGUAAUUAUUAAAAUUAACUUGAUAUAAGUUUUGGUUUAAAAAUGGACGGAAGAAUAAUGUUUUUUGUUGGUUUUUGUGGACAGUGUGUAGAAAGAAUUUGUAAAAUUUUUGACACUUUUCCUCACCUCAAUGUUUAGCAUAAUUAAGCCACAAUAUCCGGGCUUCUUCUUCUCUUUUUUCUAAUCUUGCUUUUUUUUUUUAAUUAAUAUCUUCUUUGAAUGUCUUUUUUCUUAAAUAAUUUUUAAAUUUAUGAUUCAAUUAAUAUCCCUCCUUUAUGAUUUUUUUCUUAUUUAACAUUUUUUGGAUAGAGAUUUUUUUAAUGGUGUUGUGUGUAUUUAGUUUUUGGAAAUCUUAUUCUAAUGCUUCUAUUUUUUUAAUCUUUUAUAUAGAUGAAUUUUAUUUUUUAAAAUAAAAAAUAUUUAUUUUCAAAAAAUAUUUUUAACAUGUGAAGCAUUACAUGAUAUUUUUUUUAUUUUGUUUUAUUCAAUAAAUUUAAUGUGCGUGUUUAUUUUUAUUAUCAUUUGAUUAAAUAAAAAAUUAAAUUUUAAUAAAUAAAUUUAGUAAGCACAAUCAGGUAAAUAUCCUGUUUUGCAAGAUUAAAUGUAUUAAUCUAUAUUUAUUUCUUGUUUUUUGUGAUUUUAUUUUUAAUUAUUGGUAAUGAUUUUUGUUUUUCUGUUUAUUAACAUAUGUAGUUCUUAAUUUAUUUAAUGAUAUAUAUGCAUGAACAUUUUAAUUUAUAUAUAUUUUUAAUGUAUACAAACAUAUUAAAAAAGACAAUAUAAAUAUUUUUUUUUAAUUAGAAAAAAUAUCUAAUCCGCAAUGAAUUGCUGAGUAAAAUAGCUAGUUUAUAAUCUAGAGGAUGGACAGCGCCAAAAAGUAUAAAAAAUUCAAAGCCAAUUUGCAACUUGGUUGAAAAAGACUAAAUUGCAUGCUAUUUUAUUAUAAUAAAUAAAUAACGAAUCGAGACAGAUUCCUCGCCAGCUAAUAAUGAAAGCUUUACUACAAUUUAAGAGAUUAAAAAUGACUCCAAAAAAUCAAUGCAGAUCCCUGUAUAAAUAGGAAUUAUUAAUUAAAGAAUUCUUAACUUGCUUGAAAUGAACCCAAAUAAAAAAUUAUCUCAAUUCAAUAGCUUAACCUAUUAAAUAAAAUUUUAAAAUAUAAUUUAUAUUAUUUUCUAACACAUCUCCUAAAAUAAAAGUCUUUUGGACUUGAAACUUGCAUAGACUCACACUACCUUGUGUUUAAUUUUUAUCACAUAAAUGAGGAUGAUGAAAUUCGAACUCGUGACCGUUUAGUCAUCAAGGCUCUGAUACCAUGUCAAAGAAUCAUCUCCACCCAAAAGUUUAAGCUGUUAGGUGAGGUUCCAAGAUAUUAUUUAUAUUAUUCUCUAACACUAAGUAUGAGAAUUAAAAAAUGACUGUAGACUUAGAGUCCACGCUAGCUAAUUAAGAAAUGUUUAUUAUAAUUCAAGUCAAUAAAAAUGACUCCACAUUGACUCUAAAAAUCAAUUUUGAGAAAUUAUUAUGAGUCCUAAGAGGUAAUUUAACUGGUCAGGUCUUGGGCUUGCUCCCUAAUGGUCACGAGUUCGAGUCCCCUCAGGACCACUGGUGGCUUACAUGAUUGUUAACUUCAGGACCCGUAGAAUUAGUCGAGGUGUGCACAAACUGAUCCAGACACCCACGUUAAUAAAAAAAAUUGAGAAAUUAUUAUGGUAAUUAUUAAAAUUAACUCUAUAUAAAUUUUCGUUUAAAAAUCCUUAGUAAAAAUAGACUGAAGAAUAAUGUUUUUUACUGAUUUUUUCUGGACAGUGUUCAGAAAAAUAAUUGCAAAUCUUUCUCACCUUAAUUUUCAGCAUAAUUUACUCGGUUUUAAGCUUUGUGUUAUUUUUUAGUUUUUUUUUUCUACACAAAAGCUUAGAUUCAAUGAGAGAUAUUUGAAUACAAUUCCUGAGUUCGUUUGAUUUUACAAAAGCUUAGAUUCAAUGAGAGAUAUUUGAAUACAAUUCCUGAGUUCGUUUGAUUUUAUUUAGGAGUGUAUUUAAACAAUAUAAUUUUUAUUGAAAUUCUAAGAAACUUAUUAAAAUCAACUUUUUUGUAUUUAGUAGAAAGUAAUAAAAUCUUAAAUACAAAAUCAUUCACAACAAUAUAUUUUUAGAUAAAUAUUUUUUUAAGUAUUUCUACAAGUAAAUAUCCUAUACAUGUUUUUAUUUAAAUACAUGCUUAAUAUGAAAGUUGUAUAUUGUCUUUUAUUGCAAUCUUACAAUGGUAUUAUAUUGCAUGUAUAUAAAUUAUACUUCUAUAUUCUCACUAUUUAGUCUACUAACUUUGAACAACAUUUUUUUUCACGGGUACAUUUCUAUAAAUUUUUGUUUGGUAAUUUUCACGAGUCAUUAAUAACUUUGCUCAGUUUGCGAUUAUUUCCAUCAAUAACAUGGAUCCAAGAUUGUUGGAGGCAGUACAGAGAGGAAAUGUCAUUGAACUACAGGAGCUGCUCGGAGCAAACGAUUACCUUCUAGAAAGAAGUUGUCUCAAUGACUCCUCCGAGACAAUCCUACAUAUUUCCUGCUUAGCCGGACGAACAGAAUUCGUGAAGGAGCUACUGAAGAAGAAAGCAGAUUUAGCUAAAAGGCUCAACCCAGAUGGGUUUAGCGCAAUACACAUAGCUUCUGCAAAUGGGUUUGUGGAGAUAGUGAGAGAGCUAUUGAUGGUUAACAGCGAGCUUGGCAGGCUUAAAAGCAGUGAUGGUAGAACUUCUCUUCAUUGUGCUGCUAUAAAUGGGAUGGUACAUGUGAUCAAGGAAUUGCUCAAGUUUUGUCCUGCGAGCAAGGACAUUGUGACAUUCAAAGGGGAAACCGCAUUUCACCUUGCUUUGAGAAAUAAUCAGUUUGAGGCUUUCAAAGUCAUGGUUGAUGUGCUCCAGCCGCAUAACAUUAAGGAGCUUCUGAAUGUGACGGACGAAGAUGGCAAUACUGUUUUACACCUUGCGACAGCUAAGAGACAGACUCAGGCAAGUCCGCUUUCCCUUCUUUCUUUGCUCCUUAUCUUUUGGGGUGCCUUGGGAUGGGCAUGAUCGGGUAUAACUUUCUAAAUUUCGAAUUAUAUUUCUACAACUAUGGUUUUCUGCAUAAUGGUAGACAUAAAACUCAACUACGAAACUAGAUGGUCAUUUUCCCUUCGUACUUGAAUUUCCUAUUUUCUAUUCAUUUUGAUCUGGUUUAGUUAAACCUUCAAAACAAGGGGAAUUUAUGUUGCUCGUAAUCAGAGCCAUCAAAUUUUAAAUUUAGGAAACUGAAACACUGUUUUAAACUUACUAAAAUAUGUGUUUUACGUGUUGAAAUUAAUUUUGAUUUUUUCAUUCAAAUUAUCUUUUAGUUCUCCUAAGUAUCUUCUAAAUAAAUGCAUAUAACAGUGAAAAAUACAGAGUUUGUGAAGAGAAUAAUUUGUUCCUCUUUCUAGCACGACAUAAAAUAGCCACUUUACAAAGCCCUCUUUAUAUCCUAUAGUUUAGGACUGAUUGACUAAUUAUAUGGAAACCUAUAGCUAUCAAGAUACAAUCACAUGUUCACAGGGAUUCUAGUAAUUCUAUUAUAUCUCUGUAGCUAGCAGUAGAGAUAAAAUAGGGGCUUGAAUAUUGGAGAUCCAACUUGAAGAUAAUUACUCAUAAUUAUCAACACUCCCCCUUAUAAAUGUCAUCCAUGCCUAGUUUGUUGAGACAGUCAUUAAAUGCUUGGUUUGACACUGUCUUGAUCAGCACAACAGCAAGUUCGUCUUGAGAUCGAACAUGAAGAACUUCAAUCAAUUUUUCUUUUAGUUUCUCCUUAAUAAAAUAUGUAUCAACCUCAAGAUGUUUAGUUUGAUCAUGUUGGACAAGAUUAUGAGCAAUAUAACACGUUGUCUUGUUAAUCACAAUAUAACUUCAUAGGGCUGACUUGCUUACUAUGUGAAUCUUGCAUCAAAUUUCUAAUCCACAACAAUUUGCAUAUUACCUUAGUCAUUCCUUUGUAUUUUGUUUGGAUCUAGCAACUGCCUCAUGUUUUUUUACUUCGCCAUAUAACUAAAUUCCCUCCUACAAAUGUGAAAUAGCUAGAUGUAGAAUGUCGAUCUUGAAUCGACCAAAACAAUUAGCAUUUGUAUAGUCGUUAAUAUCUAAAUUGUCUUCUUUUGUGAAUAAAAUUCCCUUUCCUGAAGAUGACUAAGUAGCGUAAGAUACGAAUGACAACAUUCAUAUGUUCGUCGCUUAGGGAGUGUAUAAAUUGACUAACCACAAUCAGCACAUAAGCUAAAUUAGGCCAAGUACAUGCAAGAUAUAUUAAUCUUCCAACCAGCCUUUAAUAAUGUUCCUUGUUAGUAGGAACUUGAUUUGAAUACACCUAUAGUUUCAAAUUUUCUUUCACAAGAGUGGUAGUUGGACUACAUGUUGUCAUACCAGUUUCAUUUAGAAAGUCUAAGGUAUGUUUUUUUGUGACAGAAAAAUAUCUUUCUUCGAUCUAGAUACUUCAAUUCUAAGAAAAUACUUUAAUUCCCUGAGGUCUUUCAUCUCAAAGUCAUGAGUAAGAUGCUCUUAUAGUAUUUUCUUUUCUUCAGGAUCAUUUCCAAUCACUAUCAUAUCAUUAAUGUAUACAAUAAGAGCUGUGAUUUGUUUUUCAUUAUGCUUCAAGAAUAGAGUGUGAUCUAAGUUACUUUGCUUGUAACCAACAGACGUCAUAAAACUUGUGAACCUUUCAAACCAUGCUCUAGGAGACUACUUCAAACUAUAUAGGGAUUUUCUCAACCUACAAACUUAUUUAUUACCUUUAGUCUACCGAUUACAGCCAAGGGACAACUCCAUAUACACUUCUUGGAGAUUUCCAUUUAAAAAUAUUUUUUUUUUAUCAAACUGGUGUAAAGGCCAAUCAAGAUUUAUUGCUAGAGAUAAUAAAAUACGAACAGUGUUAAUUUUGGCCACUAAUGAGAAUGUCUCCAUAUAAUCAAUUCCAUAUGUUUGAGUAUAUCCAUUGGCGACAGGUCUUGCUUUGCAUCGUUCAAUAGUUUCAUCGACUUUGCAUUUAAUGGUGAAAACCCACCUGCAUCCAACAGGUAACUUUCUUUCAGUUGCGUCAACAACUUUCCAUGUUGAGUUUUUUCAAAAGCUCUUCAUCUCUUCAUUCAUUGCCUCCCUCCAUCUGAAAUCUUUCAAAGCUUCCUGCACAUUGUUAGAAAUAGUUGCACAUUGUUAGGAAUAGAUAUAACAUAUAAUUGAUUCAUAAAUGUCAUGCUUUUCUUUGAUAAUCUAUGGUAGGAUACAUAGUUAUUUAUAGGAUAUUUAGAUUUAGAGUUGAGGACAGGUUCAUAGCUAACCUUGCAUUAAAAAAAAGUAAAAAAAAAAAACACCUAAAACUUCUUGCAACGAAAGAUAAGAUGUUGUACAAGAGAGACCACACAUGAAGAAGAGGAGAGAGAACUCUUCUUACAUGACAUGAGAAAUGGCUAAAGAGCCAUGAUAAGAAGAAGGCAGCAGCCUGCCUAAAAUACAGUGAGCCAAAUAUUAAAAGAAGUGUUUGGUUAGAGAAAUAUGGUGGCAACCAUGAAAGGAGAAAAAUGGCUAGGAGCAACCAUGUUCAUAUAGACCAUUUUUAAGGAAAGAAAGAUUGAAAAGAUGGCAAUGAGAUGCCAUUAGCAAGUCAUGACAAGAUGGUUUUCAAUCAAAAUUCAAAUUUAUGUGAGAGUUUCAAAGUUAAGGAGGAGUGUUGGAAAUAAUUUUGAAGUAUUUAUUUAAAGUAAUUUUUAGUUCUUUUAGGUGUGUCCUAGAUAUAUGCAUGUAACUAUCCAAGAUGUAUUUAUCUUUUACGUCUUUUGAAUUAUCCGAGAUUAGUAUAGAUAAGUAUUGUAAAUCUAAGUAUAAAUCUAUAUGGACUUACUAUUUAAAGGAGUAAUUAAUGUAAUACGAAUAAGAUUUGGAUUUCAUCAUGCUUCCCAUGUUCCCAUUACUUUUCUCCUUCAAAUAUGUGGAGUUUUUGGGAUGUCUGACCCGUAUUUCAUAUUCAUACCAGCUAUGUCAUGUCGUGUUGAUCCAGAUGCUUUCGGAGCAUCAGAGUUCUGGAUUAGUAUUAUGUUUAAUUUUUAAGUAAUCUAUGAUUACACAACGGAAAAAGAAGUUUUUACGUAAUCUCUUUUCUUUUCUUAUGUUACAGACCCUGAAAUCACUUCUUGGCGGUCAAGGUAUUGACAUAGGUACAAUCAAUGUGAAUGUCGUCAACAAGAUUGGAUUAACUGCUAGGGACAUGUUAGAUGUCUCACAAAAAAUGCAGGCUGACGCUGGUGAUUUCAUGCUCAGGGAAUUGCUUCACGGUGCUGGAGCAUUAAGAGCAAGGGAACUUGGAACUGUUGUUGAUGUUCAAGUUACUCGUAUCUCUAGCACCGUAUCAGAAUCAUUGAGUCAAAAUUCAGAGCAUUUCUUACUUAAGGUGGCUAAACAUUUAGAUCCAGUGAAGCACUACAAGAAACUAGCUAAAGAAGUUCAACAGGCUCCCCCAGGAACACAAAACGUAUUGUUGGUUGUGGCAGUACUUAUUGCAGGUAUGGCAUACCAAGCCAUCUUAAACCCUCCUGGUGGCAUUCGCACCGAAGAACUUGAAGAUGGGACGGUUUACUAUUAUGCUUGGAUGGCUUCAGGAAAAGGGCGUGAGUUUAUUUUCUUCAUGGCUUCGAACACUAUAGGCUUUUUUGCGUCGAUUGUGGUGAUCAAUUUAAUUAUUCAGGAGUAUCCACUCAAGUCAUUACUGGGGCUAGCUUUGCGUUGUAUGGUGGCAAAUUAUAUUUCUGGGUUUCUUCUUAUUGGCCCGACUAGCGUGUCUAUCACCCGUAGCGCGUUAUUGGGAAUAGUAAUUGUAGUAUCGGUCGACUUAAUUCGCUUCAGCUUCCGGUUACUCAGAAGAUGGUCCAAAAAAAUAAGAGAACAGAUGCUUCAUUAGACCGUGGAGCCAGCGCCGGACUUGAGGUGAAAAAUGAUGCAGCUGAAUAACUCUGCUGCCACAGAGUAAGAUAUGGUAAGUUUUGUGUUACUCGAAUCCUAAACAUCCUUGUAUGGACUCAAAAUCUGCAAGCCCGUUAUAAGUAUUUGGCAGUUUGUGAACUGAUAAAAUUUUACUUCCUGGACGCAUGCUUGGGAAUACAUCUAGUUUUUGUACCCAUGAAUUGUUGCAGGGACAGUGAAAAAUUACACGAAUUUAGGCAUCUUAAAAGUGUUUGAGCUGAAAAAAGAAUGGCAAUGUAAAAUAUCUAGCGAAUAUGGUUGAUUGAGCAUCUUUCAAAAUUUUGAAGAAAAAAGGCACAAAAAUUGUAUGCUUCAUCAUGAUCUCUCGGUAGGUAGUCCAUUACUGACGAAACAUAGAGACAACCAUGCUAUAUAGGGAAUAACAAACACCUUACGCAACUUGGUAAACAUGGUAUGGGAAUUUAAGAUGCCAUUUGAAUUGAAUUCUAUGGAAAAUCUAGAUUUUAGAAUUCAAAGAUUGUUAGUAAUGUUCACCAAGAAAAAUGAAAAUAACAAUCAAUACAAAGUAGACAUCAUCCAGUUGUAUCAAAUAUCAAUUUAUAAGCAAGAGGUUAACAGAGAAACAUUGUGUCAUAAUCCAUUUUUGGAUCACUCCCAAAUCCAUUUCCUUUUCUUUCAAAAGAAAACGAUAUGGUGCCGUUUUAAACGGCACUGUGCAUAUUCUUCUCCCCUCAAAGACAGGGGAGAACAAGAUUUUUGAAAAUUUUUCUCGCUAUUCUUCCCCUCUCUCUUUCCCCUCCCACUUGCAUAAAACCCAUACCUAUAAGUCCAUGCCGCCAUGAUGAAGAAAACAGGAAACCAUGCCUUGCCAGCAGCUCCCAUCACCCACCUUACCCUGCACCAAGGCAGGGGUAAGGUGACCCUCUCCUCCUCUGCUUAUAAAUACCAGAGAAGGAACCAACAAUAAGGGGGGCGGGGGCAAAAAUUUUGGAGAAGGAGAGAAGCAAAUGACAGAUUCAGGGGGGGAGAAUUUUUUUAGAAAAGAGGGAAGCAAGCAGGAAAGAAGCAGAAACAGGAGGGGGGAAAGGUUUUGAAAACAGAAAAGAGUGGUGAACAUUUGAAAACAGAGAAGGAAGGAGAGAUUUGAGAAGGAACAGAGAGAGGAGGACAAUGUUGACAGAGGAAACACACAGGGGAAAAGAAGAAUUGCAGCAGCUUGCCUCUACUCCUCACCGGCGCCCCCCACAGCAACUCCACUGGUCAGCAACCGCCAGCAGCGCCACCCACCGUCAGCCUCCCACCAUCUUCCUUCCCUGCUGCAACACUGUGAAAAAGAAGAAAAAAUAGCAGCACUGGUUGCCACAACCACUGAGCCGCGACAACAUCUCCUCCGCCACCAGCAGCGCCACCGUCAACCUCUAACCAUCUUCCUCCCCCUGCUGCAACACCCUUGAAGAAGAAGGAGCCGGCACCUCUGCACAGACGGAAAAAACAGCAGCAGACACUGCCCGCCACCGCAGAGAAGAAUCACCAUCACUUCGCCAACAACAGCAGCAACCAUUAGAAAUAGAAGAAGAAAGGAGAAGCAGCAGAUAGAAGCGGGGAGAAGAAGAAACACUGAAAAAACAGAAACAGAGGAGAACAGAUUAGAAGAAAAAAACGCAGAGAAGAAAAGAAAGGCCGACCACCAUCCAAGCCGUUCUCCGGUCAGCAACUGCCAGCAGCAGCAGCACCGUGAGCCGCCGCCAGGUCUGCUUUCCCCGCCUUUCCCUUCUUUCUUCUUCUUCUUCCCCAUGCAGGUUCCACUGUUCAUGCGAACUUUGGGCCGGAUCAAUUCUGGCUCAGCUCAAAUUUCUGGGCCGGUUCCGGCCCGUUCAAAAAAAAUCCAAAAAAAUAUUUUCGUCAAAAUCUGUGAUUUUUUUAGCAAAAUUUGUCUCUACUGUUGAUGUACAUGAUUAUUUCCUCCAAGAAAUAGGUAUAUUCUUCGUCAAGAGCUUCAUCAGCCCCAUUUCCGUUUCAAACUUCUCAGGAAGCCUGUCUUUGGCCAUCUCUACAUAGUUUGGUUCCAAAAUCCAAUAUUACAACCAACAAAACUCGUCUCUGGUCUGAUUCUCUUUAAGAAGCUGUACUUCGUAUAUAUGUAUUAGGGAGAAUCUGCACUUGAGAUCACCUUUGUCUUCACAUGAGAUGCACGCAAGGAUUUAUACACGUCGAUGGAUGCUUUCUUUAAAUCAUAAAUUCAUCAUCGUAUAUAAUCAUAUCAAAAUUUGCUAUAAAACUCCUUACUCUCAUAUGAAAUUCAACUGUUAUGAGUCUCUUGUUAACAUUUAACAACUUCCAUUCAGCAUGAGAUUUAAUUGCAUGAUCUUAUCUUAACAAUAACUUGGACAACCCAACACAUAACAUUGGAUCAAAUUAGUUUUUUUCUUUUUUGGAUUCUCAAUACUUAAUAAGGAAAUGAGAUUCGUAAGAAACUAAUUUGGUCCAACAGUACGCGUUAAGCUAUUCAAGUCAUUGUUAUCGUGUUACCAUACAAGUAUACCUCAAGUCGUGGCUUUAAGCCUAACUCUUACACUUUACCAUAGAAAGUGGAGAAUUCAUGGGAGUACACAAUCUUCAUAACCAUUAGGAGCAACAAUGGGAGCUCAACGACCAAAAUAGUUUUUUGUAUUUAAGGAAAUCAUUACCAGAAUUCUUAUAUUUACCAACAGAAUUUUCCGUCGAUAUUUGUACUAUCAUUUCAUUGGCAAUUAAUUUACCGAAAGAAUCACAGAUAAAAAUGCUCUGUCGGUAAUUUUUUAUCUAUCGAUAAGUCCGUCGAUAAUAACAAAAUAUUAUUACUGAUGCAUUUACUGACGGGAAAAGCGUGCUAAAAAACAUUAUUCGCUUCAUUACGUCGGUAUUUUUCUCAGGAAGUUUGUCAUAUAACCAACAAAAAUAUUGUAUGCAAUUUCGUCGGUGAUUAUUUAAAAAUAUUAUUUUAUAAAAAUCUAUUUAACAAAACUAGAAAAAAAUUAAAUUAAUAUAAAUCAACACUCCAUAAUACUCAGAACUGAGUUGCUUAAAAAAAAUCAACUCAAACAAAUGUGCAACAAAAAAAUAAACAACAACAACAAAUAAAUAAAUCAACAAAAAAUUGAUCUCAUAUGAAAAACAAAUCCUACAACAACAUUCAUACAAUUACUAAGAACAGAAAAAUUUAAAAAUAUAAUAAAAAAACACAAAAAAAUAAGAAAAAAGAAAUUUUACCUUGAUGUAGUUGCGACUGAAGCUGAGAAGAGAAAAAAAAUCAUAAAAUAUGUUAAUUAAAAAAACUAAAAAGAGAAAAGAAGAAAAAAUAAAAAGGCAUGCAUGAGCGUGGAGAAGAAGAGAAGGAGUUUAGGAGAGAAAGAAAGAAAGGGACUUUGAUGUUUUUUAUAUAAGAAGAAGAAGAAGAAGAAGAAAAGGGCAUGUUUGUUAUGAAAUGAGGGAUUCUAGUCUUUUUAUUGAGGUAUUUUACCGAUAAUUUUACCGACGGAUAAUUAAAUAUUAAUAUUUUUAACCAUUCUGUCGGUGAUUCCGUCUUUAAUAUUUAAUUUAAAAUUUCAAUAUGAUAUAUAUAUUUUUUUAAUAUUGAGACGAUAAUAUUUUGAGCUUUGUAGCUUAACCCGCAACCCGAGUUAUGAACUCCAUUGAGUUUAAUAACUUUGUUUUUUGAAACUAUUUUUUACUUAAUUUUAUGAUGAUAAAAUUAGACACUUAUAAAAUUGAGCACCAAUCAAAUAUCAGCUCAUUUGUUUAAGGAUGUAAUAACUUUAUAAAAAGCAAAUCAAAAUAAAUUAUAAAUAAUAAUUUAAAAGCAAUGCAUCAUUGAGUAAUGAAAUUUAAAUUAAAAAAAGAAGAAAAAAAAAGAAGAGGGACCUGCUUGUAUUGUUUACAUGAACAGUGCAAGCAGGCGAUUUCCCCUUAAUUCUUGAUGUUGUUGUUAGUAACAGUAGCUGUAGUAACAAUAGUAAAAUAAAAAAGAAAGAGGCAAUAAACUAUAAAAAAAUGAGUUAUAAUAUAUAAAAUCAAUGAUUCUUUAUAUAUUUUUUUUACGAUAUACAUCAGUUUCGAUAUAAAUAAUUUAUUUAAAAUCUAAUUGAAAAUAAAUUUAGUUAUAAUAUAUAAAAUCUAGUCCAAAAAUAAUUUUACCUUUAAUACCCAAGAGAAAUCUUAAGAAUAACCACUCCAGAAACCAAAAUAAUUGUAUCAACAAAAAAAACAGAGCUAAAAUAUUUUUUUUAACAUAGAUAAAUAUAUAAUAAUUUACUUUAUUUUUCAUGAUAUUUUGGGUUUCCAAAUGGACGACCCCAAAUCCAGCCCUAAACCCUGUAUUUUUUUAUUAAUAAACCUAUUUUUGGAAGAAUGAAAAAGAUGGAUUAUUUUGUUAUUGAAUUUUUAGCCUAAAAAACUGAAAUUUAUUCUCGUGAAAAUUAUCCAGUAAUUAAAGAUGAAAAAAUAAAAAAUAAGCCCCAAAUAUCAAUACCCCGAAUUCCCAAAACAAAUUAAACUACCCAAAAAACACAAAACACCUCCUCAAAUAACAAAAGUAGGGUUUUAUAGCUCUUUACCGCUUAUAUAUAACUUCUUGACACCCCUGUUUCUCCUCCAUUAGCAGGCUCCACACCUCCAAAAACCCUGUUUUCAUCACACAAAUCCUUUCAAAAACUUACCUUUUAAAAAAACUCUCUGAAUGAUGCCUCCUAGGCUUCACUUGUUACAUUUCACUGAAGUAGAAAGCCCCAAUGCUCGUGCUAAAACACCUGCCGUUCAGUGUUGUAGUUUAGCCUCUUGUACCUUUUUUCACGGCUUAUCUGUUUCAAAUCAACGACUACAUCUCUUAUUUCUUAAAAUUUCUCUUUUUUUCAUCCGGGUAUGUGUUUUUUUGUUGCCUCUCUAUACCUCUAGCUUGUUUUUUGAGAACUAUGGUGGAAAUUAAGCUAGUCACUGAGGCAAAAAUUGAGUCUUUUUGGUGGUGUUCACGUGGGGGCUUAUGCCCUUUGUGUCAGUGGUUUUGCCUCUAAAAACUCCUUCCGAAUUCAUCAAGUUUUGAUUGUUUUAUGUUAUUGAAUUUGUUGGCGAUUAUUAUAUUGGAUUUAUCGCUCUCCUGAGAGAAAUCAAUGAAGCAAAGAGAUAAAUCAAGUUUUGAUUGGAUUCAUCAAGUUUUCUUUUUAUUGAUUGAUCUUGGGUUCUGUUUGUUCUGUGAUUAAAGUUAUGUUUUUUUCCAGAAAUUUUUGGCAGUGAUGAUUAAUAUACAGCUUUAAUGCCAGUUCUGCUACUGAAAAUUCUUGAUUGAUAGAGCUGUUAUAACUCUGAGCCAUUUAAUUUAUAGAUACAAAAUAGUUUGAAUAGCUUAUUACAUUGCAUCCAUUCAUGAAUUCCUUGUAUAUCUAUUUUUAAUGUUAAUAAAUAUGUAGGAGGUUUAAGGUUUUUGAGACUUGGCUAUGGUAAUUUUUGGUUUGAGCAAAAUUGUAAUGUAAGAUUGCCUAUGAUGAUAUAAUCCAAUUUGUUUAAGGUGCAGUGGAGCCAUGUCCCUGUUUAUCAGGGAGAACCUACUUGGUGGAAGCUACAUUACGAUGAUAUUAAUGGAUUUAACUGAGGUAAUUUGAUUUUGAAAUUUAUGUAGUGUUUGAUACGCUGUUAAAAGAUGGGUUAUACGAUACAAAGAUGUUUGGGGUAUCUUUGAAUAUUAUAAAAAUCAUUUCUCCACUUUUCUGGUGGAGAAAUUUUUGUUUAUUAAAAGAAUACGUUUGUUUAACUUAAAUUUAUGUGUUUGCGGUAUAAAAAAUACAGUAAGGUAUUUGGUUACACACCAAACUGUGUUUUAUAAUACGGGGCCUAUUAAAAAUUGCGUUUGAAACACAGUUUUUGUGAAGUAGUUUUUACAUGUUUUUUUUAACUAAGUUUCAUAAAAUGCUAUUUGUUUUUGCAUUUCAAAAGCACUUUUGAAAAAAUUUGAAAACUUUUUAUUUUUUUUACUUGAAAUUAAUAUUUUUUUAUUUUCAGAUUAAUUUGAUGCGUUGAUAUCAAAAAUAAUUUUUUUAAAAAUAAAAAAAAAUUAUCUUGAUUUAUUUUCAAGUAAAAAACACUUUGAAAAACAACCGCAACCACACUUCCAAACACAAUUGAACCAAACAUUUUAUACAUGUUUUUUGCUACACAUAAGCCUCAGCCAUAAUUUUUAUCAAACACGUAUCUAAAUUCAACUAAUCACACUUUUUAAAACUUACUUUUUUAAAACCGCAACCACAAAAGCUACCUAAAAAACAAACACACUUUUUAGGAGUAGAUCAAGCUUGUUCAGGGUUGUUUUUUAUUGAUAUAAAAAUAAAACUGGUUAUUAUUAUAGUUUUAAAAUUUAAAUAGUAGUCGAUCCAGAGCAAGUUCUGGAUUAUAAAUCAGGUUGAUUAUUGACCCGAAUCAAUGUAAAGAUAAAAAUAAUUAUUAUCUUAAUUUAAAAUUUAAUAUAAGUGAUGACCCAAGGCAAGACCUUAAUUAUAUGUUAAGAAGGUUGAUAAGGGUUGAUCCAAGUUAAGUUAAUAAAUGGAUAACAAUACCUUGGUUACAUUAUAGGAACGUCAGCUACGAUUGAUCCAAGUAAAGUUAAUGUACGGAUAAAAAUGAUUAUAAUAAUUGUUUUAAAAUCUCAUCCCAGAAGUUUAUUUGGGACAACGUCUAGUUAUGAGUCAAAAUGAUUAAUCCAAGUUAAUCUAAAUAAAUAAAAAAAACCAAAAUAAUCUUGUUUUGACCUUAAAAAAAAUCAUAGGUUUUUUAUCCAUGUUUUAUCUCGAAUCAACUUAGAUUUUUAAUUAGAUUAAGUUGAAUCAAUUCUUUUAUCCUUUUUAAAAUGGAUUGAUCCACUCUUGUAAUUCAGUGUUAAUCAAAUAUAAAAUAAAACAUAUUAUUUAAUCCAAAACAUACCAAACAUAAAACAAGACAAUCAAAACUAUUGACUACACCGAAACUAGCUUAGCGUUUUCUAUAGCUCAUUAAUCAUGGAAAAAAUAAACAAAUUGAAUUUCUUUUAUCUCUGUUGUUCAAAUUGAGUCUUAACUACACUCUUUACACCUUGUCAGCGGGAUUAGGGUCUGAAAAACUCUGUUGUCAUCAGCUUCAUCUCCUUCAUAACCCACCGGAUCGGAGUUAAAUAAUAGCACUACAUUAAUUUCUCAAAAUGUUUAUGUUCUGCUGUUUUAUAUACCCAUUUUCCUCCUUUUUUUUUAUUAUGUUGAACUUGUUAGCCUUCAUUCUAUGAUCUCUAUAUUGAAGGUGUUAGCAUUUUCCAAGUGCCAAAAUUGAAUUUUUCGAUCAUUGUACUCGUGAAAAGCAAGGUGAAAUAUCUGGAUAAAUAAAACUAUCGUUACAGCUGAUGCCAUCAAGAAGAUGACGAAAAUAUAGUUUAUAACACGAGCUAAUAUCAGACUCUUUUAAAGUCUGCUGUGAAGUGUUUAUUUUCAGUAUUUCAAAAGGGACCGUAAAUUAACCAUAAGAUGACGAGAAGAUAGUUUAUAACACGAGCUAAAUGAGAAUCAAUCUUCUUCAAUAUCAGACUCUUUUAAAAGUCUGCUGUGAAGUGUUUAUUUUCAGUAUUUCAAAAGGGAGCGUAAAUUAACCAUAAGAUGACGAGAAGAUAGUUUAUAACACGAGCUAAAUGAGAAUCAAUCUUCUUCAAUAUCAGACUCUUUUAAACUCUGCUAUGAAGUGUUUAUUUUCAGUAUUUCAAAAGGGAGCGUAUAUUAACCACCUUUGCCUCGAACGCAAAGAAGAUGAAGGCUACACCAAUGACACAAGUCGUGAUUGCAAGCCAUGAUGAUGUAGAUAGCACUGCAUAACUUCCUGUGAUGAAUGCGAUGACCAUUGCUGGGAUGGCACAUAUGGUUAAAGUAGAUGUCCAUUCAGAGAAGUUUUCUUUUAUAUCCUCUUCCACUUGAACUCUUGUUCCAAGCAGUGCCCAAUAAAAGUGCAUGAAGAGAGCAGAAAUUGAGAGAGCCAUUGCUAUUGCAUCUGAUAUAACAAAGACUGCAAAAGCAGCAUUUUUAACAAGAACUGCAGUGCCUUGUUCGUUCUUGUAACCACCAGGCACGGUGAAAGCAGCUGCAAAUGUUACUGUUGCUACGAGGGCCGCUACAACUAUAUGAGCAUCUAUUCCUCUCUCAGUAAUAGAGAGGUAGUCUGUUUUCAUCAUAGUUAUGGGCCGUUGAAGCGGUCCACUCCGUACAUCUUUCAAUGAUUCCAAAAACUCUUUCUGCAACAAGUUUCGGCUAUGAAAUUAAACGAAUCUUUCUUUUCGACUCUCAACCUUUGUUUGCUAUCAUAACCAGCGACUUUGAAAUCAAGUAAUUUUGUUGCUUUUAGCUACCAACAAUAUAUAUUGCUUUUGUUGCUACGAGAGCUGUUUUGUUUUUUAGUUUUAAAUUGUUUUUAGGUAUGAUUUAAAAGUUUUUUUAAUUUGAAAAAACAUCAAAUUAAUUUUUUUAUAUAUUUUUUGAUGUACUGAUAUGAAAAAUAAAAUAAAAAUAAAUAUAUUUUUAAUUUUUUUUUUUAAAAAAAAAACAUCUAAUACCAUGGUAUAUCAACCAACAUUAAAACAAAAGGAAACAAAGAAACCAACAUCAGUUUAGGGGACAAAGCAAAUAGUGUUAAUCAAUUAAAUUUUUUUUUUUGUUGAAGUUGAAGGUAUAAUUUUGUUAUAUUGCCAAAAGGAUUCUAUUCUAUUUUUAUUUUAUUUAAAAAAAAGGGAGAAAAACCAAGUGAAUUUAUGUUUGAUUGAUGUGCUUUAUUAAUGGUGCAUGCAUACGUAUUUAUUGUUACAGUUGAAGUUUUUUUUUUUUUAAGAAGAUUGAAUGAAUAUUAUAAAUUCUCUUGAUGCAUCCUUUGAUAUAUAUGAAAAAAAUAUUACAUCAUUCCUAUAUGACAAUUUAAAUUUAAUUUUUUUUUGGCAAGUUAGCGUUACACUUAAUCUUGCCAAAACAAAAUGCAAAGACUCUUUCGCGUGUACGAGUGCGACUAGUUAGAAGUCAAAUCGAGGGAAUUACCUUAUCUUCAGGAAAAUUUCCUACCAAGAUGUCAUCAACGCUGAGGUUUUGCUUGUUAAGGCCACACAUGUUCCUGUACGCAUGUCUCCAAUCACUACUCAAAUACCUCUGGGGAAAAUUGCGGAAAGCAGCAAAUAGAUGCAAUGGUGUGUUUCCAUCGUUAUCCUUCUCGUAUAUAAGUUUGUCAAAUUUAGGAAUCCAUCGAGAGAAAUAGAUAGCUACCAGUCCUUCUAUAGUUGUGGCAGCAUAGUGAAGGGCAUUCCAACCUCUGGUAUCCACUAGUUCACAAGAAGCUGGGCACAUGAUCAUAAUCACUCUCAUUGCUAGCAGAUUGCCUCGAACGACGGCCAUGUGAAGGGCAGUUCUCUUCUCUGAAUCAACAAUGUAGGCUGCGGACGCAUCAUGUUUUAGUAAUACUCUUACUGUUAGAAAACCAUUCAAUAAAGGGGAAAAGGCAGCGUAGUGAAGUGGUGACCACCCGUCAUCGUCGGUUCUUCUCGUCAAGCUCUCCUCUCUUUUUAAUAUCUUUCUUGCUGUCUCUGCAAUAAACCAUAAAAAAAAAUAUGGUACAUAUUAGGUAAUAAAUGAAUAAUAUUAUGGUUAAUGCGUAAUCUACGCUACUAAUUUAGUGAUAAGUUAAUAUUUAAUUUGGCAUUUUUCUCUCUUUAAUUGUAUUAUAAAUGCCCUUUCUUGCUUUCUACGUUCUUUGGUUCUUAUAGUCGCUAUUCAAUAUUGUUUAUGCAUCCUAUUAUUUUUUUUGUUUCUUAUUAUUUGGUCAUAUUUAAAAUAAUAAUAUGGAAAUAUCAACAACUCCAACUUCAUUUAAACCAGAUGACCAAAGUUUUUAAGAAAAACUAUAAACAACAAGAAUAAAGUUCAAUAUUAUUAUGAGCUUUUAAUUUUUUUUAAUAAAUACAAUUUAACCUUUAAUUUAACAAACAUACAAUGAAACCUCUAAUAAAAGAACAAUAUCCUAAAGGUUAAAAUAAGAUUUUUUAAGAAACUCAAAAUAAAUGACUUUAAUAAAUAACAAGAAACUAAAAUCUAAAAAACACAAUAUAUUGAGUACUAAACAGAUAAGGGUUUUUCUUGAAUUAAAAACGAAUUUAGUUUUUUUUUUUUUUGUACACCUUAAAUUAUGUAGGGACUACUUAAAAAUUAUAAGUUACAUCAGGAUUUGUUUGUAUUGAAUAAAAAUUCAGAAACAAUUUAAAUAAUUUAAGAUAAGAACUAACUUCUCACAGUUAUGGUUUCCGAUAAUAAUAUAUGAAUUCAAAACUUUACAGUUCAGAAUAAAAUCUUACCAUGAUCACCAUGCAUGGCUGCCGCGUGUAGUGCGGUUCUGCCAUGAGAACCACAAUAUUCCACUGACUUGCAAUUACUCAAGAUUUCGUCGAUCACUUUUUUUCUAUUUUCUUCAUGUCUUGUAAACCUCCAAUUCUUAAACCUUACAUUGGCAGCAAUAUAAUCAUAAUUAGAUAUAUAUGAUUUUUAUUGACAUUUUAAGUCCAAUAAAUAAGAGGUUUUUUUUAUUUACUCUUUUAUAAGAGAAAAAAAAAAUGCUACCAUUAUCAAAAUUCUUUUCCUUUUCAUCAUUUUUUUUGCCUUUCCGGGAAGUUUGCUUUAUAAAAGAGAAUUAAAAACCAUUAAAUUUUGCUAUUUUUUAUUGUUCUUAAAAAAAACAAUCAGGGAGAUAAGUGAACUUAUUCAUAUUGAAUUAAUAUGUCUCGAGUUCAAGAACAUACAUAGCAUAAAAAAAUAACCAGGUAAAAUCCUAUUAUUAUAGAAGCAUUGCUUUUCUAUUAUCUUUUAUGAUAAUUUUAAAAACAGAUUUACUUUAACAUUAUAAAGCUGAACAAAUUAAAAUUAAUCAUGCAACAAUUACAUUUAUAUAAUCUUAAAACGAUAGUAUUCUAGAUUGAUAAAUAGAUUAGUAAAAAAUUGAUUAAUCUAGUAUAUAUUAAAAGAAAAAAAAGAUGUUGGUCACAUAUAGUAUCGAAUCGGUAUCAAACUCUGUUUGAGACUAAAAAAAAUGUGCACAAACCUCAUAUUGGCAGCAAUAUAAAGUGGAGUUUCUCCAUGAACAUUGGCGGAAUAUGAAAACUCAGGGUCCUCUUUUGUCAAUAUUUCCACCACUUGGGCUUGGAUAUUUCGAGCUGCCACAUGCAACGCUGUAUCUUUCUCUUCAUUCGUCAUCCUCAACAUCUUCUUUGCUUCUGUUACUCCGCUCUCUAGAUCAGUAGGUCGAGCUUUUGCGCGGUCAAUGAGGACUCUUACCACGUUGGAACGCCCAUAUCUUGCCGCAAAAUGGAGUGGGAUUUCACCUUUCUUAUUGGCCUGCAAUAAUAGUGGUGGACACAUAUCAAUAAUUUGGCCAACAAAAUCAGUGGAUUUCGAUCCUUUACGUUGGUUUUCUAAGUAAACAUGAAGAAUUGUGUUUUUUUUUGGAGUCAAUAGCUCAUUGAGAGAAGUUGGAAGACGAUCCUUAAAUGGGUUGAUGUUGCCUGCUUCUGCAGCUUUGUACAAUUUUGGUUCCAUGUAAGUGAUGCUAUUCAUUUGUUGAUCAGAGGAAUUCAUCUUGUAUGACUGUUGUUUGUUGAAAAUUUUGGCUAGUUCCAUUUACUAGCUAGGCUUGUAAGCCUAUUUAUACUAAUUCAUCAAUAUGGAAAAAUAAAUAAAUAAAGCAGAGGAAGAGGAAGCUGUCUGAGUUCUGUUAGAGAAUAGAAUAAAAAUGAUUCUAGAAGUUUCACCUAAUGAUUUAAAUUUUUAUAUAUUCAAAAAUAUAAAACAAAUUAUAAAAAUAAAUUUAAAUUUUUAAGUUAAGAUGGUUAUUUAAUAUUUUCAAAUAAUAAAUGAUUUCUUAAAAAGUUAAAUUACAUGCUUAGGAAAUAGUAGACGAGUACAGAUGGAAAUAAAAAGAAAAUGAAGAGGAAACCAUUGUGAUAUAAGUCUUCUGGGAUACAUUAUUUUGAAGUAAGAUAUGCUUUAGCACAAUCAUAUUUCGUUUCUUUUCACUUUUUGUUGCAAUUUUCUCUGCCUUGCUGGGAAAUUAUGCAACAUAGGUAGUAAUUCAAAAACUUAUUAAGAACUCAAAAUUGAACAAAAAUAAUGACAAAAAAACCAAAAUAAUGCCAAAAAAAAAAACACACACACACACACACAAAAAAAAAAAAGAAAAAUAAAUGAAAACUUCUUCCCUUAAUGGCAUACUUAAUUCCAGCUAAGAGUUAAAAAACAAAAAGAAAAUAAAAGAAAUAAAUUGUUAAUAAACCCAAAAAUAAAUAAAGAAAGAAAGACAAUAUACCUGAGAAUGAGAAGAGAAGAGGAGGCUUGAUUUCGGCUGAGAAGGAGAGAGAGAGAUAGAGAGAAGAUAAUUGUUAGUUGAGAAGAAGAGAGAAUUAAGAAGAUGAUAUCUCAUUUGUUCUGAUCUGGUCUUUUUAAUUUAGAUUUACCAACGAAAUUACCAGCAAACUAUUAAAUAUUAAUAUUUUUAAUAUUUCCAAUGGUGAUUUUGUCUGUAAAGUCAAAUGAAAAUUUCCAACUUGUAUGAAAAUUCUUAAAAACCUCUCCAACUAUCACCAAUGACUUUUAAGUCCAUCGGUGAUUCCGUUAGGAAAAAAAAAGUAAAUAGUCAACAAUUACUAGAAGCAGUAAUUAUUAGCGUAUUGGAAUUCUUAUCGUCACUAGAAUACAACGACAGACAUAUUUUGUCAGUAUACCCGUGUGUAAUGUACACCAUGAAUAGUGACAGGGAGAAGGGAAACAUUUUCCAUCGUCACUAGAAUAUACCAACAAAAACAUUUUGUCCGUAUACCCGUGUAUAAUGUACAUUAUGUCAGUAUUUUCAUCAUUGUAAAACAAUGUUUGAUGCUAAAUUGUAUAUGUAUUCCUUAUCUAUCCAUCCUACAAAUACUUAAAUUCACAAGUGCACAUACAACACAAUAACAAUAGCUCACAUCACAAUAAUAAAACAAAUAUUUCCUUGUUAUUCAACAAUAAAUUAACAUCAUUGUCAUUAUAUUGAAGUGAGUUUCAUCCAUAAAUACUACAUUAUAAUUUAUGACAUUAUAUAUUCGUGUUGUGCAAAUUAAUUAGAAUUUUCUUCUUGUUCAUUAAUUGACUCGUCUUCAUCUCCAUCAUAAUCUUAUACAUUGAUUUCAUCAUUAUCAUCAUCUUCAUCAACUUGUGAAUGUUUGCGAAAGCUCAAAACAUCGAUCAACUCCUUAGCAUCAACAUCAACAUCAACAUCAACAAAAAUAUUAUUGACUAUGUGAAAUUUUAAAUUUUCUUCUAAGUCAUUAAACAAAACAACUUGAUGUGGAUCAACUAACUUUUCAAGUUAAAAGACAUCAUCUCCCACAAUUAAUUCAUUGUUCUCAUCCUGAACAACCUUGAUAUGACCCUUGAGUUUGGUUUUCACUACGAAUAAUCAAUCAACUUUUGAAUAAUCAUUUCUAAAAAAAAGGGUGUAUAUGUAAAAAACUUAUUAGUAUUGCUUGAUACAAACAAAGACAUCGUCGAAGUUGUAGAGUCUAGACUUUGAAUUAAUUUCAACCAAACCAUGAUGGUGAUCCUCUCUGAUUCCUCUGUUAUUGGUGUCAUACCAAUAUCAUUUAAAUAAAAAUACUUUAUCAUGCUCGCUAUAAUAUUGCAAUUCACUUACCUCUUCUAACUUCUCAUAAUAGUCAACUUCAAACUUAUUAGAAGUCAAUCCCUUAACACAAAGCCUACUAUUAUGUCUUUCUACCCUGCCCAUAUUUUUUAAUAUGAAACACAUGUCCAUUGAUGAAAUACCAGUUGUAACACUUCACAUUUCUUUUAGGAUCUAUACUUAGUAUAGAUAAAGUAACACCUGCAUUCCCUCCAAAUUGAUAAACAUGAUACAUGAAAUACAACCAUGAACAAUUAACGGGAAAUGUGUAAUGAAAUUAAGUAUCCCAAAAGAUAAGAAUAAUUAAACAGCACUAAUAUAUGUUUUGAACCAUGUGGAAAACUGUUCAUUUUGUAAUCGAAAUAUUUGAGAUUCAGUCUGCUAUGAAUUUUGGAACAAUAAAAAUUGAUGAUGUUUCCUAUAUAUAAUUCAAUAAUGUAUCAUUUUAUAAUAUUAUAAGAGAUAAAUUGAUCGAGAAUAAAGAAAUGUUAAGUAGUAUACUUACUGGAUAAAAGAUUUCAGUUCGGUUAAAUAGUUUGUGAAUUUUAUUUCUCACAAAUAUUUUCCCUCACAAUAUUUUUUAGUACAGGUCGUCUAGAAUGAGAUCAUAUUAACAAACUCCCACUAAACAACAUUUUAUGAACAUGUACAUGAUAUUUUAUGUAGAAUGAAAUGUUAUUAUAUACAUUGAAAUGUUGUUUUAUUUUAGGGUGUGCAUAACUUCCUAGAAAGUCAAAGUAUCAAUGUUUUCUCUUAUAAAAGAAUAAACAAAAGUGCAAAAAUAAUCACAUCUCUUUUCCUUUUCACUUUUGUAAUGUGAAAUCCUUUACCUUGCUAGGAAGUUAUGCUUUACACAAGGAAAUGAAGAAUAAAAAAAAUUUAAAUUUUUUUUAUUGUCCUUAAAAAAAAAUUACGUAGACAAAUGAGGUUUAUUCAUAUGAUAGAAGCAUUGCAUCUCCUAUAUAUAAUAUAUUUAUUAUAUCACUAUAAUAAAUAUAUUAUAGUGAUAUAUUAGAUAUGUUGUAAAAUUAAAUAUAAUAAACAGAAUUAAACUAUAACUUAAGGCGUAUAUAGACACUGUUUUAAAAGAUAUUUUCUCAACACAAGGUUGUUCUCCAGGAUCCAACAACUUCUUCAUCUAAAGACGAGAGUUACAUAAACAAGGACAAAGAUAGAAAAGAAAUACCAGCCAACCUUGCAAAUACAAAAAAAAAAAUAAUAUGAUUUUUUUUUCUUUUGCUAUAUUUGAUUGUAAGAGUAGAUGGUAUAUAUAGGCUACUAACAUGUAAUAGCUAGGUACAAAAUAAAUUAGAAAAUUAAAAAAUUAUUACAAUAGUUAAAGAAAUAAAAGAGGUUUUAGGGAAUUAAAAAGUUAUGGCUAUUAAUAAAAAUUAAAAAAAAAAGAGUUGUUAAAAAAAUAUUCACAAAAAUCUGAUUUCUUUGUAACCCAUUUCCAUUAGCACAGAUAUUACAUUAUUUAAGAAACUUGUGACCAUUUUCAAAUGCAAAUUUAAAAUUGUUUUGAAAAAAUUAAUAAUAUAUAUAUAGUCGUUUAUUGGUCGCAAAAUAUUGAUGAUAAAAUUCCUAUUUUGUAUGGAAUAAUUAAUUUUUCUAAUUAGAUAGUUAUUGCUAACUAAUAUUAUAGGAUCAUCAUAAUUUUUUUAAAAUAAUUAAUUUUCAUAAAAAAAACAUUAACAACAAUAAUAAUCAUAAUUUUCAAUAAUGAAACAAAAAUUUUAGCUAAAAUUUGGGAACAUUAAUUACAACCAAAACAAUCAGUACUAGAUUUGCUAUCAAAUAAAGUUCUAUUGAAUUUUUUUUAAAAAAAAUAUAAUAAUUUUUUGGAAUGAUUUGCUAAUCACAAAUAGAAAAUAAAGAGUUUAAAAACAAAAUGUGAUCCAAUUUUUUAGUUUCAUUCACUUCACUGAAUAGAGUUUUAUGAAUGUAUACAUAGCAUAUACAGUAAAAUGUUGUUUUAGUUUAGUAUAUGUUUCUAAGGGGGGUUGUGUGUGUUUGAUUUAAUUACUUUUUAAGUCCGACAAAUAUUGAUGUAGCGGGAAGAUAGAAAAAUUGCAGAAAGGAAGAAAGUAGUUUUUAUUAUUCUGUACUGGACAACAUAUAUAAUCAAAACGGUUCGUAUUUAAAGACAUCAGUACAAGAGUAAGAAAAGGAGGUAUGCAUAAUUAUAGCAGAUAUUCUUCAAGAGUUAUAGCAUAAUUUUUAUCAAGAUCAUGGCAGAUCAUGAGGAAGCUUGAUUUGGGAUUUCCUGAACGUAAGCUUCCUUCUCUGAAGCAUUUUCCUUAUCAGAAACCUUAACACGAGAUACUUAGAUAUAUACGAGUGUCAAGGUAUCAAUAUUCUUUAUUUAUAAAAAAGAAAAAAAAAAGAUUAAAAAAAAAAGAGCUAACAUAAUCACAUUUCUUCUUCUUCUUUUUUUGUUGCGAAAUCCUUUGCCUUGCUAGGAAGUUUAAAAGAGUAAGAAAAGGAUAUAUGCAUAAUUCUAGGAGAUAUUCUUCAAGAAUUAUAGCAUAAGAUUUAUCACGAUCACGACAGAUCAUAAGGAAGCUUGAUUUGGGAUUUCCUAAACGUGGGCUUCCUUCUCUAAAGCAUUUUCCUUAUCAGAAACCUUAACACGAGAUACUUAGAUAUAUACAAGUUUCAAGGUAUUGAUAUUCUCUAUUUAUAUAAAAGAAAAAAAAGAUUAAAAGAAAGAUCUAACAUAAUCACAUUUCUUUUCCUUUUCUUUUUUGUGUUGCAAAAUCCUUUGCCUUGCUAGGAAGUCUAAAAGAGUAAGAAAAUGAGAUAUGCAUAAUCCUAGCAGAUAUUCUUCAAGAAUUAUAGCAUAAGAUUUAUCAAGAUCACGGCAGAUCAUGAGGAAGCUUGAUUUGGGAUUUCCUGAAUGUAAGCUUCCUUCUCUCAAGCAUUUUCCUUAUCAGAAACCUUUACACGAGAUACUUAGAUAUAUACGAGUGUCAAUGUAUCGAUAUUCUCUAUUUAUAGAAAAGAAAAAGAAGAUUAAAAAAAAAGAUAUAACAUAAUCACAUUUCUUUUCCUUUUCUUUUUUGUGUUGCAAAAUCCUUUGCCUUGCUAGGAAGUCUAAAAGAGUAAGAAAAUGAGAUAUGCAUAAUCCUACCAGAUAUUCUUCAAGAAUUAUAGCAUAAGAUUUAUCAAGAUCACGGCAGAUCAUGAGGAAGCUUGAUUUGGGAUUUCCUGAACGUAAGCUUCCUUCUCUGAAGCAUUUUCCUUAUCAGAAACCUUUACACGAGAUACUUAGAUAUAUACGAGUGUCAAGGUAUCGAUAUUCUCUAUUUAUAGAAAAGACAAAAAAAGAUAAAAAAAAAAGAUAUAACAUAAUCACAUUUCUUUUCCUUUUCUUUUUUGUGUUGCAAAAUCCUUUUCUUUGCUAGGAAGUCUAAAAGAGUAAGAAAAUGAGAUAUGCAUAAUUCUAGCAGAUAUUAUUCAAUAAUUAUAGCAUAAGAUUUAUCAAGAUCACGACAGAUCAUGAGGAAGCUUGAUUUGGGAUUUCCUGAAUGUAAGCUUGUUUCUCUGAAGCAUUUUUCUUAUCAGAAACCUUUACACAAGAUACUUAGAUAUAUACGAGUGUCAAUGUAUCGAUAUUCUCUAUUUAUAGAAAAGAAAACAAAGAUUAAAAAAAAAAGAUAUAACAUAAUCACAUUUCUUUUCCUUUUCUUUUUUGUGUUGCAAGAUCCUUUGCCUUGCUAGGAAGUCUAAAAGAGUAAGAAAAUGAGAUAUGCAUAAUCCUACCAGAUAUUCUUCAAGAAUUAUAGCAUAAGAUUUAUCAAGAUCACGCCAGAUCAUGAGGAAGUUUGAUUUGGGAUUUCCUGAACGUAAGCUUCCUUCUCUGAAGUAUUUUCCUUAUCAGAAACCUUAACACGAGAUACUUGGAUAUAUACGUGUGUCAAGGUAUCAAUAUUCUCUAUUUAUAAAAAAGAAAAAAAAGAUUAAAAAAAAGAGCUAACAUAAUCACAUUUCUUCUCCUUUUCUUUUUUGUGUUGCAAAAUCCUUUGCCUUGCUAGGAAGUUUAAAAGAGAAAGAAAAGGAGAUAUGCAUAAUUCUAGGAGAUAUUCUUCAAGAAUUAUAGCAUAAGAUUUAUCACGAUCACGGCAAAUCAUGAGGAAGCUUGAUUUGGGAUUUCCUGAAUGUAGGCUUCCUUCUCUAAAGCAUUUUCCUUAUCAGAAACCUUAACACGAGAUACUUAGAUAUAUACGAGUUUCAAGGUAUCGAUAUUCUCUAUUUAUAGAAAAGAAAAAAAUAUUAAAAAAAAGAUGUAACAUAAUCACAUUUCUUUUCCUUUUGGUUUUUGUGUUGCAAAAUCAUUUGCCUUGCUAGGAAGUUUAAAAGAGUAAGAAAAGGAGAUAUGCAUAAUUCUAGCACAUAUUCUUCAAGAAUUAUAACAUAAGAUUUAUCAAGAUCACGCCAGAUCACGAGGAAGCUUGAUUUGGGAUUUCCUGAACGUAAGCUUCCUUCUCUGAAGCAUUUUCCUUAUCAGAAACCUUAACACGAGAUAGUUAGAUAUAUACGAGUGUGAUCAAAGUAUCGAUAUUCUUUAUUUAUAGAAAAGAAAAAAAAAAGAUUAAAAAAAAAGCUAACAUAAUCACAUUUCUUUUCCUUUUCGUUUUUUGUGUUGCACAAUCCUUUGCCUUGCUCGGAAGUUUAAAAGAGUAAGAAAAGGAGAUAUGCAUAAUUCUAACACAUAUUCUUCAAGAAUUAUAGCAUAAGAUUUAUCAAGAUCAUGACAGAUCAUGAGGAAGCUUGAUUUGAGAUUUCCUUAACGUAAGCUUCCUUCUCUCAAGCGUUUUCCUUAUCAGAAACCUUAACACGAGAUAGUUAGAUAUAUACGAGUGUGAUCAAAGUAUCGAUAUUCUCUAUUUAUAGAAAAGAAAAAAAAGAUUAAAAAAAAAGCUAACAUAAUCACAUUUCUUUUCCUUUUCGUUUUUUGUGUUGCAAAAUCCUUUGCCUUGCUAGGAAGUUUAAAAGAGUAAGAAAAGGAGAUAUGCAUAAUUCUAGCACAUAUUCUUCAAGAAUUAUAGCAUAAGAUUUAUCAAGAUCACGACAUAUCACGAGGAAGCUUGAUGUGGGAUUUCCUGAACGUAAGCUUCUUUCUCUGAAGCAGUUUCCUUAUCAGAAACCUUAACACGAGAUAGUUAGAUAUAUACGAGUGUGAUCAAAGUAUCCAUAUUCUCUAUUUAUAGAAAAGAAAAAAAAAGAUUAAAAAAAAAAGCUAACAUAAUCACAUUUCUUUUCCCUUUCGUUUUUUGUGUUGCAAAAUCCUUUGCCUUGCUAGGAAGUUUAAAAUAGUAAGAAAAGGAGAUAUGCACAAUUCUAGCAGAUAUUGUUCAAGAAUUAUAGCAUAAGAUUUAUCAAGAUCACGACAGAUCACGAGGAAGCUUGAUUUGGGAUUUCCUUAACAUAAGCUUCCUUCUCUUAACCAUUUUCCUUAUCAGAAACCUUAACACGAGAUACUUAGAUAUAUACGAGUGUCAAAGUAUCGAUAUUCUCUAUUUACAUAAAAGAAAAAAAAAGAUUAAAAAAAAGUGCUAACAUAAUAACAUUUCUUUUCCUUUUCUUUUUUGUUUUGCAAAAUCCUUUGCCUUGCUAGGAAGUUUAAAAGAGUAAGAAAAGGAGGUAUGCAUAAUUGUAGCAGAUAUUCUUCAAGAAUUAUAGCAUAAGAUUUAUCAAAAUCACGUUAGAUCACGAGGAACCAUUAUUUGGGAUUUCCUUAACGUAAGCUUCCUUCUUUGAAGCAUUUUCCUUAUCAGAAACCUUAACACGAGAUACUUAGAUAUAUACGAGUGUCAAAGUAUCCAUAUUCUCUAUUUAUAGAAAAGAAAAAAAAAGCUAACAUAAUCACAUUUCUUUUCCUUUUUGUUUUUUGUGUUGCAAAAUCCUUUGCCUUGCUAGGAAGUUUAAAAGAGUAAGAAAAUGAGAUAUGCAUAAUUCUAGCAGAUAUUCUUCAAGAAUUAUAGCAUGAGAUUUAUCAAGAUCACGACAGAUCACGAGGAAGCUUGAUUUGGGAUUUCCUUAACAUAAGCUUUCUUAUCUGAAGCUUUUUCCUUAUCAGAAACCUUAACACGAGAUACUUAGAUAUAUACGAGUGUCAAAGUAUUGAUAUUCUCUAUUUAUAGAAAAGAAAAAAAAAGAUUAAAAAAAUGAGCUAACAUAAUCACAUUUCUUUUCCUUUUCUUUUUUGUGUUGCAAAAUCCUUUGCCUUGCUCGGAAGUUUAAAAGAGUAAGAAAAGGAGAUAUGCAUAAUUCUAGCAGAUAUUCUUCAAGAAUUAUAGCAUAAGAUUUAUCAAGAUCAUGACAGAUCAUGAGGAAGCUUGAUUUGAGAUUUCCUUAACGUAAGCUUCCUUCUCUCAAGCGUUUUCCUUAUCAGAAACCUUAACACGAGAUACUUAGAUACAUACGAGUGUCAAAGUAUCGAUAUUCUCUAUUUAUAGAAAAGAAAAAAAAGAUUAAAAAAAUGAGCUAACAUAAUCACAUUUCUUUUCCUUUUGGUUUUUGUGUUGCAAAAUCAUUUGCCUUGCUAGGAAGUUUAAAAGAGUAAGAAAAGGAGAUAUGCAUAAUUCUAACACAUAUUCUUCAAGAAUUAUAACAUAAGAUUUAUCAAGAUCACACCAGAUCAUGAGGAAGCUUGAUUUGGGAUUUCCUGAACGUAAGCUUCCUUCUCUGAAGCAUUUUCCUUAUCAGAAACCUUAACACGAGAUAGUUAGAUAUAUACGAGUGUGAUCAAAGUAUCGAUAUUCUCUAUUUAUAGAAAAGAAAAAAAAAGAUUAAAAAAAAUGAGAUAACAUAAUCACAUUUCUUUUCCUUUUCGUUUUUUGUGUUGCAAAAUCCUUUGCCUUGCUAGGAAGUUUAAAAUAGUAAGAAAAGGAGAUAUGCACAAUUCUAGCAGAUAUUGUUCAAGAAUUAUAGCAUAAGAUUUAUCAAGAUCACGACAGAUCACGAGGAAGCUUGAUUUGGGAUUUCCUUAACAUAAGCUUCCUUCUCUUAACCAUUUUCCUUAUCAGAAACCUUAACACGAGAUACUUAGAUAUAUACGAGUGUCAAAGUAUCGAUAUUCUCUAUUUACAUAAAUGAAAAAAAAGAUUAAAAAAAGUGCUAACAUAAUAACAUUUCUUUUCCUUUUCUUUUUUGUUUUGCAAAAUCCUUUGCCUUGCUAGGAAGUUUAAAAGAGUAAGAAAAGGAGGUAUGCAUAAUUGUAGCAGAUAUUCUUCAAGAAUUAUAGCAUAAGAUUUAUCAAGAUCACAUCAGAUCACGAGGAACCAUUAUUUGGGAUUUCCUUAACGUAAGCUUCCUUCUUUGAAGCAUUUUCCUUAUCAGAAACCUUAACACGAGAUACUUAGAUAUAUACGAGUGUCAAAGUAUCCAUAUUCUCUAUUNNNNNNNNNNNNNNNNNNNNNNNNNNNNNNNNNNNNNNNNNNNNNNNNNNNNNNNNNNNNNNNNNNNNNNNNNNNNNNNNNNNNNNNNNNNNNNNNNNNNNNNNNNNNNNNNNNNNNNNNNNNNNNNNNNNNNNNNNNNNNNNNNNNNNNCAAGAAUUAUAGCAUAAGAUUUAUCGAGAUCACGACAGAUCACGAGGAAGCUUGAUUUGGGAUUUCCUUAACAUAAGCUUCCUUCUCUUAACCAUUUUCCUUAUCAGAAACCUUAACACGAGAUACUGAGAUAUAUACGAGUGUCAAAGUAUCGAUAUUCUCUAUUUACAUAAAUGAAAAAAAAGAUUAAAAAAAGUGCUAACAUAAUAACAUUUCUUUUCCUUUUCUUUUUUGUUUUGCAAAAUCCUUUGCCUUGCUAGGAAGUUUAAAAGAGUAAGAAAAGGAGGUAUGCAUAAUUGUAGCAGAUAUUCUUCAAGAAUUAUAGCAUAAGAUUUAUCAAGAUCACAUCAGAUCACGAGGAACCAUUAUUUGGGAUUUCCUUAACGUAAGCUUCCUUCUUUGAAGCAUUUUCCUUAUCAGAAACCUUAACACGAGAUACUUAGAUAUAUACGAGUGUCAAAGUAUCCAUAUUCUCUAUUUAUAGAAAAGAAAAAAAAAGCUAACAUAAUCACAUUUCUUUUCCUUUUUGUUUUUUGUGUUGCAAAAUCCUUUGCCUUGCUAGGAAGUUAUGCUUCACACAAGGAAAUUAACAAUGAAUGUAUUUUUGAAAACUUUUAUUGUCCUUUACAAACUAUUAGGAAGACAAGUGUGGUUAUUCAUAUUGAGAAUUUGUCAAGUUCAAGAGUAUAAACAACAUAAAAAAAACCGGUAGGUAAAAUCCUAUUAUGAUAGAAGCAUCUAAAUUAAUAAAAUAUUACAUUUUUUUAAUCUUAACAUCAUAGUAUUCUAGAUUACUUAAUUUUAUUAAUAAAUUAAUUAAUAAAAAAUUAAUUAAUAUAGCAUAUACUAAAUAAAAUUGUCGAUCAUAUCGUAUAGUUCGAACCGGUCUCAAACAAGGAAUGAGACUAAAAGAAUACUCACAAAAAUUUAAUUUCUUUGUAACCCAUUUGCAUUAGAACAAAUAUUUUGUAUUAAAAACAAUUGUGACGACCUUUCAAAUGCAAAUUUGAAAUAUAUUUUUAAAAAAACAUUAAUAAUAUAUAUAUAUAUAGGUCAUAUAUUGGUGGCAAAAAAAAACGAUAAAAGUUCUAUUUAGUAUGGGGAAUAAUUUAUUUUUAUAAUUAUAUAGUUAUUAAUAAUUAAUAUCAUAGUAAUCAUCAUCAUUUUUUAAAAAAUAAUUAAUUUUCAUAAAUAAUAAUAAUUUUCAAUAAUAAAAAAUAUUUUAAAAGUUUUGCUAAGAUUUGUGAACAAGAUUUACAAUUGAUCCCAAAUUUUCUAACAAAUAAAAUCCAUUUUUUAUUUUUUUUUAAAUAUUCAUUGUUUUGGAAUGAUUUGUUGGUCAUAAAUAGAAAAUAAAGAAUCUAAAACAAAUUUGUGAUCGAUUUUUUUAUUUCAUUCACUAAAUAGCAUUUUAUGAAUUUGUGCACAAUAUUUUAUGUACAAUGAAAUGUUAUAUGCAUUUAAAUUGUCGCACCCUUGCUAGCGGAGCGCGGCGGAGCGGCGAUUCUCGAUUGAUUUCGGUGUCUUUGUGUUUUAUUGUGAAUAAAGGAGUCGCCACUUAGUAUUAUGGUCACUAGGAGCCCUAACUGGUCUUUCAAAGAUUCUAAGGCAAGAGACUGGUUGCAUAAAGGGAAGGUAUUAGCAUUCCUAGUACGCCCUACCUAAGGUAAACUGCUUGGUGUUUGGUUUGCCUUGUAAUUGCUAUGGUGUUGGUGUUCUCUUAAUUAGUUUUUGUAUGCUAUGAUGAAUGGAUUUGGGUUCAAAAUCUAAAAGCAAAAAUCCUUGGCCAAUAUAGAUCAUACCUUUAGAUAUGUUUACAAAGUGUCAAGGGGAACCAAUACAGAUCUUUUGAAAUCUGUGUUUGAUUCAGACUAAACUUAUUAAGAUAAAAAUCCAAGGAGAUUCCAUGUGCUUUAAAAGCUCAUUUUUCCCUUAGUAUUUCAAGAGUUUUGCGACUCGUAAAUCGCAAGGAGAAGAGACAAAAAUUUAGAAAUCUAAGGAAAUUCAGAGCGCUUUAAAAGCUUCUUUUUGCCUUAGUAUUUCAUACUUUUACGGCUCGUAAACCGUGGAAUCAAAAAAUUGAAAUGCCCUCAAUUAUAAUCGAGGCUUCUUUCAAGGAUGUUAGAUAACUUAUUAUUCCUAAAAAAAUAUUUUAGAUAUUAACCACUUGCGGUUUCUUUAUCCAAACAUUAACAUCGAAUAAUAACAAGUUAUUCCCAAUAAUAUUUUGGAUAUUCAUCCAUUUGAAAUUUCUUUAUCCAAACAUUAACGAUGAAUAAUAACAAUUUAUUCCCACAGAUAUUUUGGAUAUUCAUCCCUUUGAGAUUUCUUUAUCCAAACAUUAACGGUGAAUAAUAGAUGAAUUCCAUCCAAAAUAAGAUUUUUAUAUUUUUUGGAAUAUUGACCAAUACCCUUUGAAGUUUUACAAACAUGUUGUAAAAUCCAGAAAUGCAAGAAAAUAAUUUUUUGUUGUGUUUAAGAAAUCCAUGAAAAACAUAUUUUUCAAAAACUUCAAAUAUUUGUUUUUUAUAUAUAUAUAUAUAUAAAAACAUUCAAAACAUAUUAGAAUAUUGAUCGUAUGCAACACACAAAAACAAUUUUUAUAUUUUUCUUUGUCAAAAAACACAAACAUCACAAUUAAUCACAAUUAAAGUUAACAAACUACAUAUUAAUCAAAUUUUUAAGGCUUUAAUAAAUCAGUUAUUAAAUCCCAACAAAAUAUGUAAAAACAUAUUCUUACAUUUUCACAGAAAAUACAACAUAAUUUUAUUUAUCCCUAAAAUACUUGAUCAUAUACAGAUUAAAACAUUAAAUUUUUAUCUUUUUGAUUUUUAUAAUUCAACAACAUACAUAAAAAAAAAAUACAAACAAACCCACAUCUCUUUUUAUUAUGUUUUUCUCAUACACCAAUAUAUAAUUACAAAUAAUAAACAAAAAUUUAAAAUAAAACAAACAUCACACAAAUAAAAACUCACAUAAUAGCCCCUAAAAAUAUCCAAGAACCUGCUGAGAGGCUUCUGGACCAUAAAAACAGUGGCGGCGCGUCUCCUCCACGCGCCGCCGCCACUGGCGGCGCUUGUCGUGUGUUCACGCGCCGCCGUAAGAGAAACAAGGGGGCAGGGUGGAUAUGACUUGGCUUCCUCCCUUCCUCGCCGGCGGUGACCUGUAACAAGAAAAAGAAAACGCAGGCAGUUGAUUUUAAUCUAUUCUGUCCAGAUUGUUCUUGUGUUUUUUUCUUUUUUUAGAUCUGUUAACUUCUGUCUUCUUUCUUCUUCUCAGUUAGCUGUUCUUUCCUUCUUGUCCCGGUGGCAAGUCUGGCGGUUGGGCGGCGGCGGCGCUGAUGAUCUCCAACUCCUGUUGGUUGCCACGGCGGCUGGGUUUGCUGCUGGAGGAAGACGGCGCUGCUGCCCGGGGAGAGGGAGUCGUGGCUGGUCCGUUGUUGAGGUCGACGGUGAGGGAAUAGACGAGGUCCGUAAGCUACUGAAUCUCCAGUGAUGGCAGCGCUGUUGUGGCUGUUGUUUUGACCGCUGCUACUGUAGGCCGAAUGGAGGGGGGACCUGCGUUGUGUGGCUGUUGGGUGGAGGAUUUGGGUCUGUGAGGCGGUUUUGUUUCUGUGUGUGGGGAAGAAUGUAUCGCCUGUCGGGCUGUUGGGUGGAGGAGAUCGGGGAAGAAGAGGAAAGACGACUUGGGUUCUGUGAGAGGGGUCCGGCCGCUGGUCUGCGGGGCUUUUGUCGGGUCUGGAGGUGAGAGCGGCGGCUGGAGGAGGUGAGAGGAAAGGGAGGGGGCGCCUGACUGAAAGGAGAAGAAGCCGAAAAUCAAAAGCCCCAAAGCCAGGGGUUUCUCUGGUUUUUUCUUUAGAAGCGGGGCGGCAGUCAGGGUCUUCUGGUUUGCUGCCAAAGGAAAGGGAAAUGAGGGGAGUGGAGAUGGUCCACAAGAGGCAGGCAAUCUCUGGUUUGGUUUCAACGAGAGUGGGGUGCGGCCGACCUCUGUCAACAGGGAAAUGGAGGCUUGCGGCUGUUGAGAGAAAAUUUUAGGUUUAGGGUUUUUUCGUAGUUGUUCUAAAUUUUUGUUUAAAAAUUGCUCCCCUGUAAAUUUUUCUUCUCGUGCAUAUGACUUGAUGUUCAUUUAUAUAAAAAAAAAUUACACGUGAUAUUUAAAAAAAUAUUUUAAUAAUUAUUACAGUGAUUAUUUUCCAUAAUCAGCACAAAUCAAAUUAUAUAUCUAUGAUAUAUUAUAUUACAGUGAUUAUUUUCCAUAACCAGCAUGAAUCAAAUCAUAUAUCUAUAGUAUUUUAUAUUGCAGUAAUUAUAUAUGAUUCAGUAAUUAUUUUCUUGACAUAUUAUUUCUUUAAUAUUAGCCAUAAUAUUCUAUGUUAUUGUCACAUGUAAACCCUUAUUUUUUUAUUAUUAUUUUUAAAAAAUUAUUAAAACAUGGAUCAAAAAUUGAGUAGCAAUUAAAAUGUUGUUUUAUCUUAAGUUGUGUGUGUGUUUUAUUUACUUUUUAUAAUAUUGAUGAUUACAUUGGAAUUUAGAAAAUGAUGCGAGGACGAAACAAGAAGGUGGAAUUAUGUUUUGGUCCCAUCAAAUUUGAAAAAAUUAUGUACUUUCUCAUGAUGGUUUGUAAUUUGUGAAUUGGCCCUUACACUUUCUUCUUGUAUUCUUUUUCUUCUUUCAUGUUCCAUUUUCUUCUUGGCAUUCCGCCAAAAAAAACACAAACAUCUUUAUUUGUGAAGGUACUACUCUCUCGGUUGACUGCUCUCUCCUCUCGGUUUGUUGCUUACUCUUCUCUUAGCCUGUUGUUUUUUCUUCUACUAUUUUAUGGAGGAUUAUGCUUUCAUCGUUUGAAAUGUUGGUGUGUGUUAAUUAAUUUGACAAAUAAUCUUACGUUUGAUCAUUGUCAACUUAUUAAUCAAUAGUUAAUUACUUGAUCAAUAUGCUACUUGUUCUUGUUUUUUUCCUUUCAAUAAAAAAAAGACUAUAAUUAGAAAAUUAAUUCUAAAUUGAGACAUAUAAUAGCCUUACUAAUCAAACAUAAAAAAAUAAUAAAUAGUUAAAAACUAUAAAUAAAUUAUAUAUAUAGGAAUGGGGCAUCAUUUCAAGUUGGUGGAUGGCGUAUUUAUAUUGUUAUAGAGAUCAAAUUUCAUGUAAAUAUAAAAUCUUAAUCUUAUACAAAUUAUCUAUAAUUGAUAAGGAUUAUACAAUUUAUUAUUUGCAUUAAUUCUAUGUGUUUAUAUCAAUCAGUAAUAUCCAUAAAUGUAGCAUAACUUCCUAGCAAGUCAAAUUAAGUAUCAAUAUUUCCUUAUAUAAAAAUAUAAACAAAAGUGCAAAAAUAAUCACAUCUCCUUUCUUUUUCACUUUUGUGUCGGGAAAUCCUUGACGAAGUUAUGCUUUACACAUGGGAAUUAAGAAUAAAAAAAUUUUAAUUUUUUUUAUUGUCCUUAAAAAAACUUACGUAGACAAGUGAGGUUUAUUCAUAUUGAGAACUUCUCAGGUUCAAAAGCAUAGACAACAUAAAAAGAAAAAGGAAAAAAAAAAGGCAGAUAAAAUCAUAUCUAUGAUAGAAGCAUUACAUCUCACAUCUUUUAUGAUAAAUUUUUUUUUAAAAAAAAAAGCAGAUUUACUUAAACAUUAUAGAGUUAAACAUAUCUAAUUUAAUCAAUAAUUACAUUUAUAUAAUCUUAAUAUGAAAAUAUUCCAGAUAAAUGAAUUUAAUUAAUAAAUCAAUCAGUAAAUUGAUUAAUCCAUCAUAUACUAUAAAAAAACGUUGUCAUCACUUAUAGUCUCACAAGGUUAGAUAUUGGUCGCAAAAAAAUAUUAAAAUUUCUAUUUAGUAUGGAAUGGUUAAUUCUCCUAAUUAGAUAAUUAUUAAUAUUAUAGUAAUCAUCAUCAUUCCAAACAUACAUUGGUUACCAAAAAUAAAUAAAUAAAAGUGAUAAAAUUUCUAGUUAGUGUGAAAUAAUUGAUUUUCCUAAAUUGAUAAUUAUUAAUAAUCAUAACAUUUUAAAAAAGAUGACGAUGAUGAUAUUUAAAAGUUAUUAAUUAUCAUCACAUUUUUUAAAAUCUAGGUUUGUUCCUUUUGGCUUGAAAAUUAUUUUAGUUUGUUUGAUUUUUGUAUUUUUUUGUAUUAUUGAUUCUAAUAAUAUUUUUAAAAAAAAUCUCAAAAGAUGUAUCUCAACCAUAUCUCAAAAUCUAAAAUUAGAUGAAAUUGUCAUUUUGAUCAUUUAAAGCUAAAAUGAUAUUAUGCUUAUUAAACAAUCUAAAUAAAUAAAAGAGAAAUACGAAAACAAGAGAGAAGGAGGUUACUGUUUUAUUGAUAUUGCAUUGAAGGGACAUGUUUAACAUAAAUACAAAGAGAUUAUAUAUAGGCUAAAUUGAAAAGGAAAAUAAGAAUAUUAUUCUACCCUUAGUAAAUAAAACAAAAUAACUUAUAUUUUUUAACAUAUCCCCUCAAACUUAUGAUGCGGCAGCUACAAAUAUCGAGAGUUUGCCAACUAAAAAAUAAAAAAUAGAAAAUAGAAUGCGACUUGGUAAAUAAAUCUGCAAAGAAGAAGAAACAAAAGGCAAAGUAAUGGUGUCAUGCUUGAGAUGAUGACGAGUAAAAUGACAAUUGAUCUCAAUGUGCUUAGUUCUAUCAUGAAAAACUGAGUUGUGAGCAAUCUGAAUAGAACUUUGAUUAUCACAAUACAUAAGAGUGGGAUAAGAAAGGGAAACUCUCAUAUCUGCAAGUAACCAACGUAACCAAACAAUUUCUUUAGUAGUAGAUGUUAUAGCACAAUAUUCUGCUUCAGUUGAGUAUUGAGAAAUAAUAGAAUGUUUCUUGCUUUUCCAAGAAACAAGAGAAUCACUUAAAAAGAUACAGAAACCAGUAACAGAUUUGCGAUCUGUAGGAUUAUUACCAUGAUUAGCAUCAGAGUAUACACACGGCUCUAAGAAAGAGAUGGAUAGAAAAGUAAAAGACUUUGAAAAACUGUACCUCAAAGAUAUCACAAAAUACAAAGAACAGUUGUCUAAUGAAAGGUAGUAAAAUAAGUAACAAACGAACUAACAAUAUGAACAACAUAUGCAAUAUCUGUAUAAGUAAUAGUGAGAUAUACCAAGCUCCCAACAAUAGUACGGUAUAAAGUAAGAUGUGACAAGGUAAAUCAUCAGAAGAAGAAUACUUCGUGUUAACCUUAAUGAGAGUAUCUACAGUCUUAUUAUUAGUAAGUCUAGCCUGCUCAAGAAUAUCUACUAUAUAUUUUGACUGAAAAAGAAGAUAACCUAUGGGUAAGUAUGUUACCUCAAUACUUAGGAAAUAUCGUAGAGAAUCCAAAUCUUUCGUUUCAAACUAUUUGGCUAACUUUGUCUUCAAAACUGAAAUACUAUCAAUAUCAUCACCAGUAAUAAUUAUGUCAUUAACAUAUAAAGACAUAAUGAUACGACUUAUAUCAAUGCACUUAACAAAAAAAGCAGAAUCAUGACUACUAAAAACAAAACCAAGGGAAGAGAUCACAAUAGAGAAUUUUUCAAACCAAGCAUGAGGUGCUUGUUUGAGAUCAUAUAAUGAUUUCUUAAGCUUUCAAACAUACUCAGAAUCAUGUGAAAUACUUAAAGGGGCACCAUAUAAACAUCUUCAUGAAGAUCUCCAUUCAAGAAGGUAUUUUUAACAUCAAGUUGAGAUAUAUGCCACUGACGAACCGAAGCUACUACAAUAAGAGUAUGAAUAGUAGUCAUUUUUGCAACAUGAGCAAAUGUCUCCUCAUAAUCCAUACCAUAUUGUUGAGAGUAUCAUUUUGCAACCAACCCAGCUUUGUAUCACUCAAUAGAUCCAUCAAAAUUAGUCUUGAUCUUAUACACCCAGCGACAACAAACAUCACUCUUACCAAAAGGUAGAGGAAUCAAAUCUCAAGUAUAUGUUUUAUGCAAAGCAUAAAGUUUCUCAUCCAUAGUUUGCUGUCAAAGAGGAUCAAAAAUUCUCUUUCUAUAGGAAGAAGGCUCAGAAAAACAAUGAAUAGAAGGUAAACAAGAAGUAAAUGAUAAGCAAUAACAAGAAUAAGCAAAAUCUAGUAACUUUGUGGACUUAUGAAAGCAUAUGGAUUGACGUAGAGGUAGAUCCACAAUCUCAAACAAAGGUGGAGGGAUCGCAGAGGAGAAUGAAGCAACGUGCCUAUAUUUUAUUUUAGUAACGUUACUUUGCUUAGAAAUAUUUGUACACAAGGUUUGGUAAAUAGUUUCAUCUAAGCUAAGCAACUCACAAAAUUUAUUAAAAAUAUAUUUUUCAUUCAAAUUACAUCUAAAAUAUUUAAUAACAACGGAAUGUUAUUACGGUGGAGCACACCAUUAUAAAAAAUUUUCAAUUACAGUAACACUUCUAUUAUAAAAAGUAAAAAUAAAUUAUUGACCCACAGGUUGCUUAAUUUCUAACGUACGGUGGAGCACACCAUACGAAAAACACAGCUAGCUGAACAAAUCUCAAUUCCACCAAAAUUGUGAAUGGACAAAUAUCUAUAAGUUUCUGUUUCUGAUACAUAUGUAAUAACAGGAUCUCUCUAAGACUCUUUUAACCAUGAGAUUUGAAAGCUUCUGUACAAACCUCAAAAGGUAGGGAAAGCUAAUUUUACAGCGAACAGAACCUCAAAAAUCUCUUUAAAAAAUCUAAGUUUGAUCUAAAUGAGAUUGAAAAUUAUAUCUUUUAUUGUAAGGAUACAUGUUUAAUCAAAAUCUCCUACAGUUUCUUUUUCUUGUGAUCUCACAUGCAUGAUCUUUUUCAUUUGUAGUACCAUGAAAUGACAGUUCUUCAUCUAAUUACCUGUUAUAUAGUAAGUAUCUUCAGCAUGCCUUUCAAAACAAUUGGAAUACCGCAAAAAUGAUAUUAUGAUUUAAUUAACCCAAUUGUUGAUAAUUGGAUAGCAUUUCACUCACCAGAAUCUAACAGAUACUCUUGAUAGUUUCAUAUUUAUGUAAUGUUUGAUAUUGUGAUAAUAGUUGUUUUUAAAAUGUUUUUCGCUAGGAAAUAUAUUAAAAUAAUAUUUUUUAUUUUUUAAAAAACUAUUUUUAACAUAGCACAACAAAACAAUCCAAAAUCAUAAAUAAAAAAAAAACAAAACAAUCUAUAAAUAAAAAAAAUAAAAAAAUAUUAUUCCUUUUUUUCCUCAUUGGAAAGGCCUUGUACUCGGGGCAAAAAAAAAAAACUACCUACUUAAUUUCUUGACCCUGGAAAGGUACCUGAGGUAUGGUUAGCAUAAUUAUGGCUAAAUGUAUCAAAUUAUAGUCUACUAAUUAGAUAGCUAUAAUUGAAGGAAAAACAAAAGUGAUCUUUUUACUAGUUGAUAGAAUCCUGCAUCAACCAGCAAACUCCAUAUCAAUUGACAAUAGUCAAAAGACCUAUCCAAGCUACUUUACAUCAUAUACAAAGGAAAUUGAAUAGCAGAAAAGUACUUGUUUUCCUUGAAAAUAUUAAUGAUCGUGUAGGAUGUUGUUACCCAUUUUUUGAUUCCUAUAAAAAAAUAAGAAAAUACAAAAAACAAUAUUAAAAAAUAUUCAAAAGAAAUCCAAAAAAUAAUAGGAGCGAGAAAAAAAAGCUGGAAUGCUGAAAAAAUAACAAAAUUGGUUGAGGAGGUUCAAAAAUACAAAAUGUUGAAAUUUGACAAUAGAUUUUUGACUGAUGAGAGCCCUGUUGACAAAAAAAAUUCAAGUUGAGGAAGAAAAGUCUAAAAUCAGAUGUUUAUAGACUCAAUUAAAUUUUAUCUAAGAUUUAAUUGAAUUUAUGGAGGGUUUGAUUGCAAGAAAAAUUAAUUUUUAAGUCAAUUUAGAUUUUUAUUGGAAGAAAUUAAAGUUUUGGGGUCCAAUUAUCAUUUUGAAAAGGGACUUAAUUGCAUAAUUAUUGAAGUUUGAUGAUCAAUUAGGGACUUAAUUGAAACAAUCCGAAACCAAGGACCAGACCAGAAAAGACGUUAAAAUCAAGGGAUCCAAUUACAAUUCAUACUGGGGCUUGAUUACAAAAUUUUCAAAACAGCCAAGGACCGAAUCAAAAAUAUUCAUUUUGAAAUUUUGAAACGGCACCGUUUCCACUAUUCAUUGUCUCCUUCAAAGAGAGUCGUUUUCAGCAUUAAAACAGGGAUAUGUUUUGCAGCAAAUUGCUCCAAUUAUGGGGCAUGUUUUAUGGCUGCUAUCCUAGCGACCGUUACCACCACAGUGCUUUCCUUGGGCUAUAAAAGCCAGAGGAGGAAGUAGGAACCGUCGCCAGGGGAGGGAAAAGAGAACAAAAGGAGGAGGAGAAGGCAACGAGACAUAAAGGAAAAAAAAACAGAGAGAAGAGAGUGUAAAGAAGAGAGAGGCAGAGGGAGUGAGUAGGAUAAGAGAGAAAACAAAGAGAAGGCGAAACCAACAGAGGAGCCGAGUGACCAUCAGAAAACGCGACACCAACAAAGGAGUUGAGCCACCACCUGCUCUAUCUUUUCCAGAACGAGGAAAUAACAGAGGAAGCCACCAUCACCAUCGGCUUCACUUUCUUCAGAACCAGGGAACCAGCAGAGGAAGCCAGCAUCACCAUAGGCUUUUCCUUCUCCAGACUCACGAAGCCAGCAGAGUAGGUCAGCACAACCAUCGGCCUCCUUUCUCCAAAACCAGGUCUGUUUCUCUUCCAUUCUCCGCCUCUGCAAAAAAUGAUGCAUGUUACUGUGCAAAGGUAAUUUAAUUACCUUCGUACAGUUCAUGCACGAGUGAAGAAAUUCACGCGUGCUUUAGGUUGUUUAGCCGGGUCACUGGUUUGGGCCAGUGACCCAGCCAGGCCUGCUGGGUCCAGCCCUGCCACAUGGGCCGGGCUGGGCCCAACCAAAAAAAAUUUCAAAAAAAAAAUCCUUUAAAAAAUCUGUGAUUUUCCAGAAAUUUUUUUACUGCAUUUUGAUUAAUAUUAGUUUGUAUUUUUAUAAUGUAAAGAUACAAAUCCGGUAUUAAAAUACCCGGUUUUCGUAAAAAAAAUGUUUUGUUUUCAUGCAUACGGCCAAGUCUCUCAAAUAUAUAUAUAAAAAAUCAUAUUGUAUUUUCAUAUAACAAAUAAAAUUUCAAAAAUAUGUAUCAACAUGCAUUUUAGCUUUAAUAACCAGUUUAUUAAAGUCACGAGAACUAGACUAAUAUUUUAAAAAUUCCAAAAACAAUUAUAUUUUUGUUUUCUUUUAGUAUAUGGGGUUACGACCUUAUACGUAAGACGUAUUCCGGAUAUUAAAUUUUUUUGUUGACGUCAGAAUUACCCGAUAAGAUAAGGAUCUCCUUACUGAGGAUGACUUUUUUUAAACCAUAGACGGACCAACAACUAGAAAACACGACAAGAUCUUAGAUUUUAUUAGACAAUAAAACAAUGCAGCUUACCUUAGAUAGGGCGUAUUUGGUGUGCUAAUACCUUUCCUUUACGCAACCAGUCCUCAUACCCGAUCACUGAGACCAGUUAGAGUUCCUAGUGACCAAAAUACUAGGUGGCGACACCCAUUCCAUUUUUCCACUAAUAAAAGACAAGAAUUUCUUGUCUCCCCACAUUUGCCACAUUUUUAGAUAAUACAAAAUUUUGAGGGUUGAUAUUUUCGCCGCGAUGCCGCACACGUGCGACAUAGGAUAUGAUAUUAUUAAAUGAAAGUACAAAUUAAUCAUUGCACAUUUCUUUUACUUGUUUUCUCAAUUUAUAUAAAAGAAAAAAAGAUUAAAAAAAAGAACUAACAUAAUCACAUUUCUUUUCCUUUGUUUUUUUGUGUUGCAAAAUCCUUUGCCUUGCUAGGAAGUUUAAAAGAGUAAGAAAAGGAGAUAUGCAUAAUUCUAGCAUAUAUUUUUCAAGAAUUAUAGCAUAAGAUUUAUCAAGAUCACGACAGAUCAUGAGGAAGCUUGAUUUGGGAUUUCCUGAACGUAAGCUUCCUUCUCAGAAGCAUUUUCCUUAACAGAAACCUUAACACGAGAUAGUAAGAUAUAUACGAGUGUCAAAGUAUCGAUAUUCUCUAUUUAUAGAAAAGAAAAAAAAAGAUUAAAAAAACGAGCUAACAUAAACACAUUUCUUUUCCUGUUCUUUUUUGUGUUGCAAAAUCAUUUGCCUUGCUAGGAAGUUUAAAAGAGUAAGAAAAGGAGAUAUGCGUAAUUCUAGUAUAAAGUCUUCAAGAAUUAUAGCAUAAAAUUUAUCAAGAUCACGGCAUAUCACGAGGAAGCUUGAUGUGGGAUUUCCUGAACGUAAGCUUCCUUCUCUGAAGCAUUUUCCAUAUCAGAAACCUUAACACGAGAUACUUAGAUAUAUACGAGUGUGAUCAAAGUAUCGAUAUUCUCUAUUUAUAGAAAAGAAAAAAAAGAUAAAAAAAAAAGCUAACAAAAUCACAUUUCUUUUCCUUUUUGUUUUUUGUGUUGCAAAAUCCUUUGCCUUGCUAGGAAGUUUAAAAGAGUCAGAAAAGGAGUUAUGCACAAUUCUAGCAGAUAUUCUUCAAGAAUUAUAGGAUAAGAUUUAUCAAGAUCACGACAGAUCACGAGGAAGCUUGAUUUGAGAUUUCCUGAACGUAAGCUUCCUUCUCUGAAGCAUUUUCCUUAUCAGAAACCUUAACACGAGAUAGUUAGAUAUAUACGAGUGUGAUCAAAGUAUCGAUAUUCUCUAUUUAUAGAAAAUGAAAAAAAGAUUAAAAAAAAGUGCUAACAUAAUAACAUUUCUUUUCCUUUUCUUUUUUGUUUUGCAAAAUCCUUUGCCUUGUUAGGAAGUUUAAAAGAGUAAGAAAAUGAGAUAUGCAUAAUUGUAGCAGAUAUUCUUCAAGAAUUAUAGCAUAAGAUUUAUCAAGAUCACGAAAGAUCACGAGGAAGCUUGAUUUGGGAUUUCCUUAACAUAAGCUUCCUUCUCUGAAGCUUUUUCCUUAUCAGAAACAUUAACACGAGAUACUUAGAUAUAUACGAGUGUCAACUAUCGAUAUUCUCUAUUUACAUAAAGGAAAAAAAAGAUUAAAAAAAAGUGCUAACAUAAUAACAUUUCUUUUCCUUUUCUUUUUUGUUUUGCAAAAUCCUUUGCCUUGCUAGGAAGUUUAAAAGAGUAAGAAAAGGAGAUAUGCACAAUUCUAGCAGAUAUUCUUCAAAAAUUAUAGCAUAAGAUUUAUCAAGAUCACGCCAGAUCACGAGGAAGCUUGGUUUGGGAUUUCCUUAACAUAAGCUUCCUUCUCGGAAGCAUUUUCCUUAUCAAAAACCUUAACACGAGAUACUUAGAUAUAUACGAAUGUCAAAGUAUCGAAAUUCUCUAUUUACAUAAAAGAAAAAAAAGAUUAAAAAAAAGAUCUAACAUAAUCACAUUUCUUUUCCUUUUCUUUUUUGUGUUGCAAAAUCCUUUGCCUUGCUAGGAAGUUUAAAAUAGUAAGAAAAGGAGAUAUGCACAAUUCUAGCAGAUAUUCUUCAAGAAUUAUAGCAUAAGAUUUAUCAAGAUCACGACAGAUCACGAGGAAGCUUGAUUUGGGAUUUUCUUAACAUAAGCUUCCUUCUCUUAACCAUUUUCCUUAUCAGAAACCUUAACUCGAGAUACUUAGAUAUAUACGAGUGUCAAAGUAUCGAUAUUCUCUAUUUACAUAAAAGAGAAAAAAAGAUUAAAAAAAAGUGCUAACAUAAUAGCAUUUCUUUUCCUUUUCUUUUUUGUUUUGCAAAAUCCUUUGCCUUGCUAGGAAGUUUAAAAGAGUAAGAAAAGGAGAUAUGCAUAAUUGUAGCAGAUAUUCUUCAAGAAUUAUAGCAUAAGAUUUAUCAAGAUCACGUCACAUCACGAGGAACCUUUAUUUGGGAUUUCCUUAACGUAAUCUUCCUUCUCCGAAGCAUUUUCCUUUUCAGAAACCUUAACACGAGAUACUUAGAUAUAUACGAGUGUCAAUCAAUAUUCUCUAUUUAUAGAAAAGAAAAAAAAGAUUAAAAAAAAAGCUAACAUAAUCACAUUUCUUUUCCUUUUGUUUUUUUGUAUUGCAAAAUCCUUUGCCUUGCUAGGAAGUUUAAAAGACUAAGAAAAGGAGAUAUGCAUAAUUCUUGCAGAUAUUCUUCAAGAAUUAUAGGAUAAGAUUUAUCAAGAUCGUGACAUAUCACGAGGAAGCUUGAUGUGUGCUUUCCUGAACGUAAGCUUCAUUCUCGGAAGCAUUUUCCUUAUCAGAAACCUUAACACGAGAUACUUAGAUAUAUACGAGUAUCAAAGUAUCGAUAUUCUCUAUUUACUUAAAAGAAAAAAAAGAUUUAAAAAAAGUGCUAACAUAAUAACAUUUCUUUUCCUUUUCUUUUUUGUUUUGCAAAAUCCUUUGCCUUGCUCGGAAGUUUAAAAGAGUAAGAAAAGGAGAUAUGCAUAAUUGUAGCAGAUAUUCUUCAAGAAUUAUAGCAUAAGAUUUAUUAAGAUCACGUCAGAUCACGAGGAACCUUUAUUUGGGAUUUCCUUAACAUAAGCUUCCUUCUCUGAAGCAUUUUCCUGAUCAGAAACCUUAACACGAGAUACUUAGAUAUAUACGAGUGUCAAAGUAUCAAUAUUCUCUAUUUAUAGAAAAGAAAAAAAAAGAUUAAAAAAAAACUAACAUAAUCACAUUUCUUUUCCUUUUGUUUUUUUGUGUUGCAAAAUCCUUUGCCUUGCUAGGAAGUUUAAAAGAGUAAGAAAAGGAGAUAUGCAUAAUUGUAGCAGAUAUUCUUCCAGAAUUAUAGCAUAAGAUUUAUCAAGAUCGCGACAUAUCACGAGGAAGCUUGAUGUGGGAUUUCCUGAACGUAAGCUUCAUUCUCGGAAGCAUUUUCCUUAUCAAAAACCUUAACACGAGAUACUUAGAUAUAUACGAGUAUCAAAGUAUCGAUAUUUUCUAUUUAUAGAAAAUAAAUCUUUUUUAAAAAAAAGUGAUAACAUAAUCGCAUUUCUUUUCCUUUUGUUUUUUUGUGUUGCAAAAUCCUUUGCCUUGCUAGGAAGUUUAAAAGGGUAAUAAAAGGAGAUAUGCCUAAUUCUAGCAUAUAUUCUUCAAGACUUAUAGCAUAAGAUUUAUCAAGAUCACGACAUAUCACGAGGAAGCUUGAUGUGGGAUUUCCUGAACGUAAGCUUCCUUUUCUGAAGCAUUUUCCUUAUCAGAAACCUUAACACGAGAUACUUAGAUAUAUACGAGUGUCAAAGUAUCGAUAUUCUCUAUUUAUAGAAAAUGAAAAAAAGAUUAAAAAAAAGCAAACAUAAUCACAUUUCUUUUCCUUUUCUUUUUUGUUUUGCAAAAUCCUUUGCCUUGCUAGGAAGUUUAAAAGAGUAAGAAAAGGAGGUAUGCAUAAUUGUAGCAGAUAUUCUUCAAGAAUUAUAGCAUAAGAUUUAUCAAGAUCACGCCAGAUCACGAGGAAGCUUGGUUUGGGAUUUCCUUAACAUAAGCUUCCUUCUCUGAAGCUUUUUCCUUAUCAGAAACCUUAACACGAGAUACUUAGAUAUAUACGAGUGUCAAAGUAUCGAUAUUCUCUAUUUAUAGAAAAGAAAAAAAAAGAUUAAAAAAAAAUGAGCUAACAUAAUCACAUUUCUUUUCCUUUUCUUUUUUGUGUUGCAAAAUCCUUUGCCUUACUCGGAAGUUUAAAAGAGUAAGAAAAGGAGAUAUGCAUAAUUAUAGCAGAUAUUCUUCAAGAAUUAUAGCAUAAGAUUUAUCAAGAUCACGGCAGAUCACGAGGAAGCUUGAUGUGGGAUUUCCUGAACAUAAGCUUCCUUCUCUGAAGCAUUUUCAUUAUCAGAAACCUUAACAUGAGAUAGUUAGAUAUAUACGAGUGUCAAAGUAUCGAUAUUCUCUAUUUAUAGAAAAGAUAAAAAAAUAUUAAAAAAAAUGAGCUAACAUAAUCACAUUUCUUUUCCUUUUCUUUUUUGUGUGGCAAAAUCCUUUGCCUUGCUAGGAAGUUUAAAAGUGUAAGAAAAGGAGAUAUGCAUAAUUCUUUCUGAUAUUCUUCAAGAAUUAUAGCAUAAGAUUUAUCAAGAUCAUGACAGAUCAUGAGGAAGCUUGAUAUGGGAUUUCCUGAACGUAAGCUUCCUUCUCUCAAGUAUUUUCGUGAUCAGAAACUUUAACAUGAGAUACUUAGAUAUAUACGAGUGUCAAAGUAUCGAUAUUCUUUAUUUAUAAAAAAGAAAAGAAAAGAUUAAAAAAAAGAGCUUACAUAAUCAUAUUUCUUUUCCUCUUCUUUUUUGUGAUGCAAAAUCCUUUGCCUUGCUAGGAAUUUAUGCUUUACACAAGGAAAUUAACAACGAAAGUAUUUUUGAAAAAUUUUAUUGUCCUUUAAAAACUAUUAGGAAGACAAGUGUGGUUAUUCAUAUUGAGCAUUUGUCAAGUUCAAGAGUACAGACAACAUAAAAAACAGGGUAUGAUAGAAGCAUUGCUUCUCUAGCAUCUUUUAUGAUAAGCUAAGAAAACAGAUUUACUUAAACAUUAUAGAGUUUAACAUAUCUAAAUUAAUCAAAAAUUACAUUUUUAUAAUCUUAACAUCAUAGUAUUCUAGAUGAAUUAAUUUGAUUAGUGAAUCAGUUAAUAAAAAAUUAAUUAAUAAUAAUAAUUGUCGAUCACGUAUAGUUUCGAACCGGUCUCAAACAAGGUAUGAGACUAAAAAAAAUGUUCAUAAAAAUCUAAUUUCUUUGUAACCCAUUUGCAUUAGAACAAAUAUUUUGUAUUCAAAAAAAAUUGUGACCACCUUUCAAAUGCAAGUUUGAAACAUUUAAAAAAAACAUUAAUAAUAUAUAUAUAUAUAUAUAUAUAUAUAUAGGUCAUAUAUUGGUUGCAAAAAAAAUGAUAAAAAUUCUAUGUAGUAUGGAAUAAUUAAUUUUUAUAAUUAGAUAGUUGUUAAUAAUUAAUAUCAUAGUAAUCAUCAUCAUUUAAAAAAAAUUAAUUUUCAUAAAUAAUAAUAAUAAUAAUAAUAAAACUUUUCAAUAAUAAAAAAUAUUUUAAAAUGUUUGCUAAGAUUUGUGAACAAUAUUUACAACUGAUCCCAAAUUUUCUAUCAAAUAAAAUCCAGUUUUAGUUUUUUUUUUUAAAUAUUCAUUGUUUUGGAAUGAUUGGUUGGUCACAAAUAGAAAAUAAAGAAUUUUUAAAAAAAUUGUUAUCGAAUUUUUAAAUUUCAUUCACUAAAUAGCAUUUUAUGAAUUUGAGCACAAUAUUUUUAAAAAACAUGGUACAUAUUAGGUAAUAUAUGAAUAAUAUUAUGGUUAAUGCGUAAUCUACGCUACUAAUUUAGUGAUAAGUUAAUAUUUAAUUUGGCCUUUUUCUCUCUUUAAUUGAAUUAUAAAUGCCCUUUCUUGCUUUCUACGUUCUUUGGUUCUUAUAGUCGCUAUUCAAUAUUUUUUUUUUUGUUUCUUAUUAUUUGGUCAUAUUUAAAAUAAUAAUAUGGAAAUGUCAACAGCUCCAACUUCAUUUAAACUAGAUGACCAAAGUUUUUAAGAAAAACUAUAAACAACAAGAAUAUUAAAGUUCAAUAUUAUUAUGAGCCUUUAAAUUAUCAUUUUAACGUGGAAUCCAAUAGUCUUACUAAUAUAAUAAUUCAUUUGUGUUCUUUUUUUUUUUAAUUUUUAAUUUUUAUUUAUGUUAGGGAAAUGAUACGCCCACACAUACAUGUCAUAUAGAUUCCUUACAUGCAAACGUAUAUAAGAACAUUUUGGUCCUAAAAUCUUAUAAUCAUGCAAAUAAGUCCUUAAUUAAAUAGACUAGGAAAUUCAUUGUCUUCUUAUUAUGUAUUUUCUUUCCCUUGUAUCUUCCAAUGAAUUAUAUAAGUAAUAAAUACAAUUUAACCUUUAAUUUAACAAACAUACAAUGAAUAUUUUUGUCCCAAACCAAAAGCACAAUAAAUAAGUCCCAACCAAAAGCACCAGAAUUAACCCAAACAAACUCCCAAGUCCCAGCACUCUCUCUCACUCUGUUUUGUCGUUAAAGUUGCUUCAACUUGAAAAGUUCAACGAUAAGUCUCCGAAAGAAAUUUCCCACAGCAUCUCAAUUUUCUCUUUCUGACAGCAUAUCAUCCUCUCUUUCAAUGGAAAAUAUGACCUCAGUCGCCCAGGGAUUCACUAAGUCGCUUGCGAUGACAGUGGUAUCGGAGAUCGGCGAUAAGACUUUUUUCGCUGCCGCGAUCUUGGCCAUGCGUCACCCAAGAAGACUUGUUUUGUCAGGUUGCCUAGCGGCUUUGAUAGUUAUGACUAUCCUUUCUGCUGCUGUUGGCUGGGCUGCUCCAAAUCUGAUCUCUCGUGCGUGGACUCAUCACAUAACAACAAUAUUGUUUUUUGGAUUUGGGCUUUGGUCCUUGUGGGAUGGAUUUAAUGACAAAGGGGAGGCUGAAGAAUUGGCAGAAGUUGAAGCAAAAUUGGAUGCUGAUUGGAAAGCUAACACAGGAACGGCCAAAGCUGGUAGCAAGGACAGUGAUGAAUUGAAAAAGCAGAGGCGGACAUUUCUUUCACAGUUCUUCUCACCUAUACUCUUGAAAGCAUUUUCCAUUACAUUCUUUGGUGAAUGGGGUGACAAGAGCCAGAUAGCCACCAUUGGUUUGGCUGCUGAUGAGAACCCGUUUGGUGUUGUUAUAGGUGGAAUUGUAGGGCAAGCACUGUGUACUACUGCCGCUGUCAUCGGUGGAAAGAGCUUGGCAUCUCAAAUAUCUGAGAGAGUAGCUGCGUUGUCAGGUGGAGUUCUUUUUAUUGUUUUUGGAAUCCAAUCCUUCCUUUCAACGGUUGAGUAGACCCAUCAUCUAACACGUAGGUGGUGGUUAGGUGUAUUAGUGACUUUCAUACAUUAAGAAGGUGAUCAUUCUCCGAAGGACGCAGCAAGAUAUGGUUAUUCACAAGAGCAAUUGCUCAACUCAUAAAUUUCCUGAUUCAAAGAGCAGUAGCAUGUUUGAUUAUCAAAAUUAACCAAGAGCGUGUUAUAUGCUAUUUAAUAUCUUCUGUUGGAUCUUGAUAUAUCUUAAAUUGAAUGAAGCAUUAUGAGGCACCGAAGUUGCCUACACACUGUUGAUUUUAUGCAUGCAAAAAAAAAAAAUGAUUAUUUGACAUGGUAUAGGAGCUUGAUGACCAGGCGAUUAUAAGUUCGAAUCAUUUAUUUGAUAAAAAUCAAACAUAAAGUAAUAUGAGUUUGUGCAAGUUUCAAGCUCAAAAAGCAUUUACUUGAUGGUGUGUGUUAAACAAUAAUAUAAAUCAUAUCUUGAAGUCUCACCUAAAGUUUAAGCUUUUGAAUUGAAUUGAUUCUUUAACAGUAUAUAAACACUAUUUUAAAAAAUAUUUUCUCAAUACAAGGCUGUUCUCCAGGAUCCAACAACUUCUUCAUCUAAAGACGAGGGUUACAGAAACAACGAUAAAGAUAGAAAAAAAUACCAGCAAACCUUGCAAACAUAAAAAAUUAAUAAUAUGAUUUUUUUUUCUUUUGAUAUGUUUGAUUGUAAGAGUAGAUGGUAUAUAUAGGCUAUUAACAUGUAAUAGCUAGGUAGAAAAUAAAUUAAAAAAUUAUUACAAUAGUUAAAGAAAUAAAAGAGGUGUUAGAGAAUUAAAAAGUUAUGGCUAUUAAAAAAAAUAAAAAAGAAAGAGUUGUUAAAAAGAGUUAGAGUUGUUAAAAAAUAUUGACAAAAAUCUGAUUUCUUUGCGACCCAUUUCCAUUAGCACAGAUAUUUCAUUAUUUAAAAAACUUGUGAUCAUUUUCAAAUGCAAAUUUAAAAUGGUUUUGAAAAAAUUAAUAAUAUAUAUAGUUGCUUAUUGGUCGCAAAAUAUUGAUAAAAUUCCUUUUUUGUAUGGAAUAAUUAUUUUUUCUAAUUAGAUAGUUAUUCAUAUUGAGAAUAUUCAGAUUGAAAUUCCUAUUUAAACAACCCUAUUUUAAUAAUAAAAAAUCUAGUUUGAAAUGAUGAAACUUAAACUUAACUAAAUUUUGAGUUAAUAAAUAAUCAGAUUGACCUAUGGAGCUAGAUCAAAUUUUAUAACCAUCUGCAUAAUACUAAUUAACCCGUAUUAUAAAUACCAAAAAAAGAAAAGUUUGGUUCAUGUUAUCAUUUCUAUAUAUUCUUAUCUUACAUGAAGACUUGCAUUUUUCUUUUAUUAAUUUAUGUAUAAAUUGAUAUGAGAAUAUUUCAUUAAUGCAUGCACACGUUGAUUCAAGAUCAUUCAUUAUCAUCCAAUAAAAAAAAUGAUUUGAAUCAAUUUCACAGAAUAAUAAUAUAAAAAAGAAAGAAAGAAGAGAAUUUAGGUCAUGCGUAUGAAAGGGUGGUUUCUGCCAUAAUAAACGUCUUGCAUCAUGGAAGCAGCCAAAGGCGAAGUAAUCUUUAUAAUUACCAGAGGAAGAAUGUAUCAGACAAGAGCAACAUCGAGCAGAGAUGAUGGUCACAGACAGAGGAGCACGGGCUAACCAUGGCCUUACUGCAUGGUGGGAGGAAACCAUAGACAAAAAAAAAAAACACAACUCCCUCAAAUUGUUUAUGGGCUUGAGCUAGUGUCUCUCUACUCGCUGAGAUGGAUGAAUCUGGUUCAAUCUCACCGUGUCAAGUUGCUAUCUGUCUCCACUGUGGCAUUGAAUUUUCUGGUGAGAUCCACCCAGCAGCUUUAAUCAAGAGUUUAUUUGAAUACAAGGAUAUGAAUCAUGGCUGCCCCUGCCCUUUGCAUGCCCGUUUAUAAGUGUCGCACCCGACAUCACGGCAGUCCUAAAAAUUAAUUCUCGAAUAUGAAAAAAAAAACAGAUUUCUGGCAUCUUGUUCUUUUAGAAAAAAUAUCUUGUUUAAGGAGUCGCCACCUAGUAUUAUGGUUACUAGGAACCCUAACUGGUCAACAGAGAUUCUAUAAUACGGAACUGGUUACGUAAAAGGGAAGAUAUUAUCACCCUUUAAACGUUCUGUCUGAGGCAGACUGCAUUGCUGGUUUUGUCUUAAAUUGCUAAAAAUUUAUUCGCUUAUGCUAUGAUGAUUUGUUUAUAAUAUUCCUGAUUCUGGCGCCAGUAAAUAUUCGACUACGGAUAUUUCCAACUCUGGCAUUGGUAAGUAUUACGUAACUCAAAACAAAGAUGAAUGGUGUUGCUGACUCUAGCUCUUUAAAUGAACCAAUAAAAAUAAAUUUAAAUAUAUGCAUGCAUAUUUUAUAUUUUUUAUUUUUUAUUUUUUUGGGCUGGGCUGGACCCAGCCAGCCCGGCCCGGUCACUGGCCCAAGCCAGUGACCGUGCAAAUUUCACCCGCAAGCGUGCGUGACUCACGCACGCUUCUACAAUCACCACUUAAUUAAGUCUCUAAUGCACAGUGUUGAUGAAUUAUUUUACAGAGCUGGAGACACUUGCCUGGGAGCAGAAUGAAGGCGAUGGCGUGCUGUUCCUCUCUUCGUUUUUUAAGCUUCUUCCUCUGGUUUUGGAAGCCGGCGCCGGAGAAGAAGAAGCCGAUUGUGAUGCUGGUGCUUUCUUCUGUGGGUUUCUUAUUUCCCUGUCCUCCUCUCUGCCUCUGUUCUCAAAGAAAGAAAGAAACGCUCUGGUUCCUGUUGCUCGCAGUUGCAGAAGACGAUGACAGUGCAGAAGGGCUAUCCCACCCACACUGCCACUGCCUUCUCUCCUCUGUUUUGUUUUUUAUUUCACCCCUCCCUCGGUUCAGCUCUCUCUUUUUUCAGUUCUUCCCCCCUGGCUUUUUCGUGUUUUCCUCUGUUUCUUUGAGAAGAAACAGGGGAACGAAAGUCUGCUCUGGUUUCUCUCGGUUCCUCUUCCCAGUUUUUCUUCAGUUUCUCUCCGUCUGCUCUUUUUUAGUUCGGUUCUGUCAUUUUUUGUUCUCCGCCCUUCGUGGCUUUUCUUUUUCUCUCCCUCUCAGCCCCUCGGUUCUGUGUUUCUCCAGGGGCUUUUCGGUUAUGCCCUCUCUUUCCUGGGUUCUUUUUUGCCACCACCUGCAUGGACUAUCUCUGGCUUUUAUAGCCAGAGAACAAUGCCGUUUCUUCAAGCCAUAAAUUGUGUUAAUUGCAGGUGUAAUGGUGGGAGCGGCGGUGUGCGUCCGUUUCAGUCGGGAAGAAGAUGGACAUUAACGGGAAAACGGCGCCGUUUUUGGUGUUUAAUGGCUAUUUGCAUUUUGGACCUUGCAUUUUUGACAAUUUUGUACUUAAGUCCCUAGUUAAAUUGUAAUUGGACCCCUGCAUUUCGGCGCCAUUUUCAAGCUGGUCCUUGGAUUUUAAUUUUUUCAAUUUGGACCCCAAUUAAACCCCAAACUUUGAUAUUUCUUCAAUUAAGUCCCUGAUUUCAUUAAUUAAAUUAAUUCUAAGCCAAUUAAGUCCACAAACUUAUCAAUUCUUCAAUUAAACCCUUGAUUGGAUUAAUUAAAUUAAUUUCAAGCUCAAUUAAGUCUCAAAAUCAAUUCUCCAAUUAAACCCUUGAUUGGAUUAAUUAAAUUAAUUCCAAACUCAAUUAAAUCUCAAAACUUAUCAAUUCUCUAAUUAAACUCUUGAUUGGAUUAAUUAAAUUAAUUCCAAACUCAAUUAAGUCUCAAAACUUAUCAAUUCUCCAAUUAAACCCUUAAUUGGAUUAAUUAAAUUAAUUCCAAACUUAAUUAGAUUAAUUCCAAAGUUUAAUUAAACCCCAAAAAUUCUAAUCAUGUUGCCCUUAACCCAAAUUUUAAUUCAUUUUUCAUUUAUCUCAUUUUACUUGUUUUUUAUCAUUAUUAUUUUUUUAUCAUCAUCAUUUUUUUUAUCCUUUUUAGUAAAUAAAAUAAUAAUAAUAAUUAAAAUAAAAUGGUUAAAAAUUGGGUUAUGACAAUAGGGACAAAGAAGAAUUGUUUUCCACUUUUUAGAUAAAAAAAAAAAUCCACCAAACUCUGCAACCCACUUGGGAGAGAAACAGCAUCCUCUUUCCAUGGAGGGUCCCCAGAUAUCACCAUGUCCAUCAAUUAUUACAUUGUUUGGAACCCCAGAAAAUUAUAUUUUUGAGCUAACAAUUCCUUUCGAGCCUUGAAUAAUCUCUCUCUCUCUCUCUCUCUCUCAAUAAUACUGAUGCUUUUGUACUGACAUCUGUGUUUGAUUGGGCCUACGCCUAUCUAUGUAAACAAUGACUUGUAGAGUUAUUAAACUUUCGCCUAGAGAAUUGAUCCGGUUAACUUUUAAUUUAAAUUGAUUUUAGUAUUGAUUUGGUUAAAUUUAAGUGAUUUAACAAGUUGAUACUGUUAUAUCUAGCUAUGUCAAAACCAAUGAAUUUUUUUUAAAAAAAAAAUAUCAAACAAAUUUUGUUAAAAAAAUGAUAGAAUCACUUAAAUUUUAAGAAUAAAAAAAAUAAUUUUUUUUUAUUGUCCUUAAAAAAACCUACGUAGACAAGUGAGGUUUAUUCAUAUUGAGAACUUCUCAAGUUCAAAAGCAUAGACAACAUAAAAAAAAAAAGUAGAUAAAAUCCUAUCUAUGAUAGAAGCAUUGCAUCUCACAUCUUUUAUGAUAAAUUUUUUUUUUAAAAAAAAAAGCAGAUUUACUUUUUUUUUAUUAUUAUUAACGUAGGUAUCCGGGCCAGCUUGCACGCACCUCGACUAAUCCCACGGGCCCUAAAGUUAACGAAUGUAAGCCUUGAGUGGCCAUCAUAUGAGCAACCACAGGGCUCGAACCUGAGACCACAGAGGGAGCAAACCCUUUAGUCCCAAGCUCUUACCACUAGACCACCACCUAGAAAGCAGAUUUACUUAAACAUUAUAGAGUUAAACAUAUCUAAUUUAAUCAACAAUUACAUUUAUAUAUAUAAUCUUAAUAUGAAAAUAUUCCAGAUAAAUGAAUUUGAUUAAUAUCAAUCAGUAAAUUGAUUAAUCCAUCAUAUACUAUAAAAAAAAAAUAGUUAAUUCUCCUAAUUACAUAAUUAUUAAUAUUAUAGUAAUCAUCAUCAUUCCAAAAAUAUAUCGGUUGAUAUUAUAGUAAUCAUCAUCAUUCCAAAAAUAUAUCGGUUGCCAAAAUAAAUAUAUAAAAGUGAUAAAAUUUCUAGUUAGUGUGAAAUAAUUGAUUUUCCUAAAUUGAUAAUUAUUAAUAAUCAUCACAUUUUAAAAAAUAUGAUGAUGAUAUUUAAAAGUUAUUAAUAAUCAUCACAUUUUAAAAAAUAUGAUGAUGAUAUUUAAAAGUUAUUAAUAAUCAUCACAUUUUUUUUAAAUCUAGCUUUGUUCCUUUUGGCAAAAAAAAUAUCAAAAGAUAUAGCUCAACCAUAUCUCAAAAUCUAAAAUUAGAUGAAAUUGUCGUUUUGAUCAUUUAAAGCUAAAAUGAUAUUAUGAUUGUUAAACAAUGUAAAUAAAUAAAAGAGAAAUACAAAAACAAGAGAGGGGGAGGUUACGGUUUUAUUGAUAUUGCAUUGAAGGGAUAUGUUUAACAUAAAUACAAAGAGAUUAUAUAUAGGCUAAACUGAAAAGAAAAUAAAAAUAUUAUUCUACCCUUAAUAAAUAAAACAAAAUAACUUAUAUUUCUUAACAUAUCCCCUCAAACUCAUGAUGUGACAGUUACAGGCAUCGAGAGUUUGUCAACUAGAAAAUAAAAACAAAAAAUAAAAUGCAACUUGGUAAAGAAAUCCGCAAUCCGCAAAGAAGAAGAAACAAAAGGCAAAGUAAUGGUGUCAUGCUUGAGAUGAUGACAAGUAAGAUGACAAUUGAUUUCAAUGUGCUUAGUUCUAUCAUGAGAAAUCGAGUUGUGAGCAAUCUGAAUAGAACUCUGAUUGUCACAAUACAUAGGAGUUGGAUGAGAAAGGAAAAUUCUCAAAUCUGCAAGUAACCAACGUAACAAAAAAUCUCUUUGGUAGUAGAUGUCAUAUCACAAUAUUCUGCUUCAUUUGAAGAUUGAAAAAUAAUAGAAUGUUUCUUGCUUUUUCAAGAAACAAGAAAUCACUUAAAAAGAUACAGAAACCAGUAACACAUUUGCAAUUUGUGGGAUCACUACCAUGAUCAGCAUUAAAGUAUGCACACAGCUCUAAAAAAGAGGUGGAUAGAAGUAAAAGACUUUGAAAAACUAUACCUCGAAGAUAUCACAAAAUACAAAGAACAGUUGUCUAAUGAACGGUAGUAAAAGAAGCAGCAAACAGACUAACAACAUAAACAGCAUAUGCAAUAUCUGGAUGAGUAAUAAUGAGAUAUAUCAAGCUCCCAACAAUAGUACGGUAUAAAAUAUGAUGUGACAAGGUAAAUCAUCAUAAGAAAAAUAUUUUGUGUUAACCUUAAUGGGAGUAUAUACAGUUUUAUUAUUAGUAAGUCUAGCUUGCUCAAGAAUAUUUACCAAAUAUUUCGACUGAGAAAUAAGAUAACUCAAAUUUUUCAUUUCAAACUAUCUAGCUAACUCUGUAUUUAAAACUGAAAUACCAUCAAUAUCAUCAUCAGUAAUAAUUAUGUCAUUAACAUAUAAAGACAUAAUGAUACGACUUGUAUCAGUGCACUUAACAAAAAAAGCAGAAUCAUGACUACUAGAAACAAAACCAAUAGAAGAGAUCACAACAGAGAAUUUCUCAAACCAAGCACGAGGUGCUUGUUUGAGAUCAUAUAACGAUUUCUUGAGCUUUCAAACAUACUCAGAAUCAUGUGAAAUACUAAGAGGAGCGUCAUAUAAACUUCUUCUUUAAGAUCUCCAUUCAAGAAGGUAUUUUUAACAUCAAGUUGAGAUAUAUGUCAUUGAUGAACCGAAGCUACUACAAUAAGAGUAUGAAUAGUAAUUAUUUUUGCAAUAGGAGUAAAUGUCUCCUCAUAAUCCAUACCAUAUUAUUGAGAGUAUCAUUUUGCAACCAACCUAGCUUUGUAUCGCUCAAUAGAUCCAUCAGAAUUAAUCUUGAUCUUAUACACCCAACGACAACCAACAUCACUCUUACUAGGAGGUAGAGGAAUCAAAUCUCAAGUAUCUAUUUUAUGCAAAGCAUAAAGUUUCUCAUCCAUAACUUGCUGCCAAAGAAGAUCAAGUCUCUUUAUAGAAAGAGGGCUCAGAAAAACAAUGAAUAAAAGCUAAAAAAUAAAUAAAUGAUGAGGAAUAACAAGAAUAAGCAAAAUCUGGUAACUUUGUGGACUUAUGAAUGCAUAUGGAUUGACGUAGAGGUAAAUCCAUAAUCUCAAACGGAGGUGGAGGGAUUGUAGUGGAGAGAAUGAAACUUUAGGUGUACCAGAGAGUAAAAUGUUAGUACAUGUAGAAUAAUCAGUAUUUUUUUGUUUAAUUAUUUCCAAAUUAUUAUUAUUAUUAUUAUUAUUUUAUGAAAAUUAUAAAUGUAAUUGUUGAUUAAUUUAUUAUGUUUAACUUCUUUUUUUUGGCUUAUCAUAAAAGACAAUAGAGAUGAAAUGCCUCUAUCACUUUUUUUUGCUUUUUAAAUGCUGUCUAUGCUCUUGAACUUGACAAAUGCUCGAAUGUGAAUAAAUCACUUGUCUGCCCAAUUGUUUUUUAGGAGAAUAAAAAAUUUUCAAAUUUUUUUUAUUGUUAAUUCCCUUGGCAUAACUUCCUAGCAAGGCAAAGGAUUUUGAAACACAAAAGAAAAGGAAAGGGUGACUACAUCAAAUAUAUAUCAAAAUAUCUCACUAUAUCAAUAUUUAUCAGACUUAUAAAGUGAAUUAAAAACACAUAUAUAUGUGCAAGCGUACACACAUAUAAACUAAAUUAAUAUUUCACUGUAAAUAUUUAUCACAAUUUUAAAACAAAAUUGUGAGUAAUUUUUCCCUUUUUUUAUAAGCAAAGAAUACUUUAACACUAACUAUAAUCUAAAACAUGUGGAGAAAGUAUUAAAUUGUAAGUAUUUUUUCCCUCUUUUAUAAGUAAAGUAUAUAUUAAAGAAUCUCAUUAUAUCAAUGUAUUUCGGACUUGAAAAAGUUAAUCAAACAUGUGGGGAAAGUUAAUCAAACACAUUAACUAUAAUCUAAAACAUGUAAGAAAAGUACUCUAAUAAUAUUACUUUCCCCGUAUGUUUUGGUGUGGCUCUAAAAAAUACAUUUGUUUUUGUUUAUAUAUAUAUAUAUAUAUAUAUAUAUAUAUAUAUUUUUUUUUAAUUAAUGUUUUGGUUUUUUUUUAAAUUUUAUCCUUUUAAUAUUACAUUUUUUUAUUGGGUUAUCUUAUUUUCAAGACACGGAUCACGGGUUUGGCGGAUUAACCUAAUUGAUUGAGGUUUUAUUCUUUUUUAUUUACCUUUUUUUUUCAAUUUUAUCACUUAAUAUUGGUUUAAUUGAGAAUUAGGUUUCAUGAUUUAUUUUAUUUGCUUUCUAUUAUGUUAAUCAGUCAUGACUUGAAAAUAAUGUUUAAUGGCUUUAUAAUUUGUUUUUAUUUAUUUUCUAUGGAGUUAUCAUAAUCUCAUAACUCAAGUCACAUAUUUGAUAUGUUAACCCAAAUUGACUCAAAUUAAUUUAUUAUGUUGUUAUCUUAAUUUUAAAAAAAAAAUGUUAUCUUAAAAUUAUUUUUAUCAAAUUAUAUUUUUAUUGGUCCUCUAAAAAAUAUGUUAGUAAUAUUUAAAUAUUUUUUUUAUAUUCAAGAAAAACUUGACCCGAGGGUCAAUAAUUUAACACAAACAGUAAACUAAAACAAUAUUUCACUAUACAUGUACUAUUCAUAAAAUACUAUUUAGAGAAUCAAACUAAAACAUUCGAUAACAAAUUGUUUUAAAAUUAUGAAGGAAAUUGAAUAGCAGAAAAGUACUGGUUUUGCUUGCAAAUAUAUAUUUGAGUGAAGGAUAUGAUAUCAUUAAAUGAAAGUACAACUUAUCAUUGCACAUUGCCAUGCCAUGAAGAUUGAACCAUUACAGAAAGCAAGAGACAAGCUUAUCAUAUUAUUGCAUAUUAUCAGAAAUGGCGAUGAAAUUAGACUACAAACUUACAAAGUUCCAACCCCAUUUAGACCAAACCAAAAACAUUCUUACCCCGUCAUAACAAGAGUUAUGGCUUAUCAACAACAGACCUGAAAAAAAUUUACUGAUAGACCAAUUCAAAAGUGGCCAAAAAAAAGAAAAACUUCCCUUUAUUCCUCGCCAUCCUCUCCUGCAAAACUCAGAGCCUGACAAACAGAGUCCCCUGCUUCAGCCUCCUCGAUGCAAAAGAAUGGUUUCUUCCCAACCAAAUCAGCCACUCUUUUCGCAGCCCCUGAAUCCCUUGGAGUCUCAGCAACACACCUGACAGUCCUAAUCUUUGGCAACACAUCAGCCACUGUAGAAACUGUCGGCGGAGAUUCGCCUUCAUCAUCACCCUUAUACACCACUACUUCAAUUGGAAUCUCCCACUUCUUCUUCACUCUACCACUGUCCAUUCUCUGACACGCCCCAUUUCCUCGCGAAGCCCUCCUCUUAUUGACAUCUUCCUUCUCAUUAUCCGGCAAAGACCUCUUUCGAGCCUCGCUAGCACUUAGAUUCCCAUUAGACUGAUUUGUUCCAAUCUGACUAUACCUACUAGCCACCACCCGCCCGGGCUUCAAGGGUUUCUUAUUAGUAACAGAUUUUUCUCCAUCUUUGAAUAGAUUCUUCGGCUGAAUUGAAGCAAUAAUCCCAUCUUCUUUCUUCACUGAUCUUCUAGACCCCACAGUAGUAACAGCCUGUUUAGGAAAUUGAAUCUUGGACACAUUUUUUCGCGAUCUUGGACUAACACUCAAGCUUUUUCCUCUCUCUUUAGUUGCCUUUAAUUCAUCAAUCUCUUCAAGCUUCCAAAAACAAGAUUUCCGCCGAUUCUGAAUCGAAACAGGAGUGUUCAUGUCUUGUUUCCCACAGAAUAACCUUGAUUUGGAUCCGGAUAAAAUCUCACUUGGCCCUAAACUGACUCCUCUUCUAUUAAUCUUCGAUUUAGAACUUGGGAUCAACGGUUCCUCAAUCUUGACACUCUGUUUCUGAUCCAUAAAUUUUGCAGCCACAAUUCUCCCUCUCUUCUCAAUAGUCUUUGAUAUAUUCCUCUCUACCUUUUCAAGCCUAAGUGCUUCGAGUCUUGAAGACAAACGCUUAAUCUCUCUCUCAAUCUCUUCAAUCUCCAUAUCAAUCUUUUUCUCAUCACGAUUCUUGAUCUCUUCAUUCUUUGCCACCAUCUUAGAAACCCCAAUCUUCAAAGAACUACUCCCGAGUGAGUUAACUAGAUUGGUAUUUGAUUGAAGUGGCUUGGUGGGGUUUGAAGAAUUGACAAAAACAGGAGAUGAUUUUUCACAAACUGGGCUAAGAUUCUCUUUACUUCCAUUGGAUUCAAGACUUUGAGUCCACCAAGAAGACUUAAGAUUCAAAGAAUCCUCUGAUUCUCCAUUAUCAAACGCUGCAUUGUUCCAUAUUUGAACUUCUGGGGCAUCAACCCCAUCUGGGUAUUGAAGAAGACUACUCAUCUUUCUUGUUGCACUAUCAAAAUGGGGGGUUUUCUUUGUUCUUUUUACAAAUCAAGAUUUGACCUUUUUCAAAGGAAUCUGUGAAUUUUUGAGAGAGAGAGAGAGAGAAAAGGUGAGGAUUAUUUGAGUUUAAUGAGGGAUUUUUGGGGGGGUUUUGUGUUGUUUUAAAGAUUUUUUGACCGUUGGAGAAAAAGUAUACGUUGGAGCCUCAUGGUGGAAUACUGACAGUUCCAUAAACGGCUUAUAUUAGACGCUCCCAUUUUGAUUUAAAGGGUUAUUUGUCAAAAAAAAAAAAAAAAAAAAAGGAAAAUUUUGUGCGGGAUGGGAACUUGAUGCGUUGUUUGUUUCCUGUUUGAUGAGUAAGAAAGAGCAUAUUUGAAUAGUGUUAAGGGUUGUUUGGGAGUAAAUUUUGUUAAAAUUUUAAAAAAAAUUCUUUAUUUUUUUUAAUGUUUUUAAAUUAUUUUGAUGUAUUGAUGUUAAAAUUAAAUUUUAAAAAUUUAAAAAUAUUUUUUUAAUAUUUUUUUUGAAAAAAAUAUUUUGAAAAGUAACUACUAUUAUAUUUUAAAUAUUUUCUAAACCUCAUCAAUCAAUCUAAUAAUCUAAUAUAUUAUUUUUUAUUGAUAUGUUAUUUAAUUUAGACUAUGUAUAAAAAAUUAGAUGAGAAUUAAUUUGAUCCCGAUUAAAAUCUAGUUUAAUUUUAAAAAAAAAUUCAAAAUGAUAUAAAUUUGAAUUUUUAUUAAAAAAAUAAAAAUUAAUUUAUUUUAAUUAAUUCAGAUCAAAUCUAAUUAAUCCACAUAAUCAUGUUAUAUUAUAUAAUCAUAAUCAGGAUCAAACAAGAUUUAAUAACUUUGAUUUGAAUAGGAAAUGGCCGAUGAUUACUACUACGAAAUUGGGCCGCCCUCCCAUAGCCGAUGAUACUUUGGAAGUGAGGGGGAGAAGGCAAGAAAAUCAUAAUUACCCGUAUGACUAAUAAUCUCAUUAAUCAUUUUGUUAGCAAGAUCGAGGAGGUAAAAAAUCAUAAUUAUAUCCUCCAAGUUGGUUUUUUUUUUCAAUUUGAUGGUAAAAAAUAUUUUCAUAUAAUUAAGGGUUGAUAAAUCAGCAUAUGGAUCUGAUGAUCCUCUCAACACUGCUAAGAAUCUCAGUAUGCAAGCAACAGAACAGCAGAUGGUUGUAAGAAAGAAAUACACAGUGAAUUUUAUUCCCUUUCAAGCAAAAUGAUUAGUUAAAAUUGGAAGAAAAUGGAGCUACUCUUCCUUGACAUAUCAGUUCAUAUCACAGCAGCAAAAAGAACCCAGAAAGGAAGUAUCAGCUGCAAGUCUGUAACACACAGCAGGCUCCAGUCUUCGGCCAAUGAUACUCAGUGUCCACAUGAGCAGGAACCUUGCCUCCAUGUCGCCACAAUAAUACAGACAGUUCCCAGCUGAAGAGUCAAAGGAGAAAAGAUAAAAUAAAAUAAAUAAAUGCACAGUACUGAAGGAGAAGGCACCACACACCACACAUAAUUAAAAGAAAUCUUGCUUACACUUAAAAUAAAUAUUUUUUUAAUUCAUCAUGUGUAAUUGGACUGAAUUCCAAGAAAUUUGUUGACAAGGAUCAAAUUAGAUGCUCAGUAAAUAUGAAGGACUAAUCAAAAGACAAGCCAGAUUCUAUUAGAAUUGUUCAAUAAUAAUCAGUUGCAGCAGCAAUCAGAAAAUAUUAUAAUUAUAGUCAACAAUUUUUUAGCAAUUAGUUUCUGUUUCAAAUUAUAAAUUAUACAAAAAUAUUAUUCUUAUUUCCAAUUAAUUGUAUAUGUUUAUAUGUUUCAAACACCUGAAUUUUAUUUUCAUCAUUAAAUUUAUUUUGAUUUAAGUGGCUAAAUUUAAUUUGUUAUAAUUAAGUGGCUAAAUUUAAAUUUAAAUUUGUUAGACCAGGUAGUUGCUUAUUUAUUAAGUUUAAGAGAAUAUUUUCAAGAUAGAAUUGAAUCAUUAGAUUAUUUUUCUAUUAAAGAAUGUUAAUCAAAACAUAAUUACUGCGAGAUGUCUUUUUGAGAUACAAAAUAUCUCAUAGUAAUAUAUUUUAUCCAUUAUAUUAAUUAAAAUUAAAAUAGAGUAAAUAAAAUAUAUAUUCAUUAAAAACACAAAAUCUUGCUCUGUACAAUUUUUUUCUUAACAAAGUCACAUUAAUCUAUCUCUGUCAUCCUGGAUAAAAUUUCACAAUUACACUCCAACUCGCCCAGUCAAUUCAAUCUCCUCUUAAAAUACUUCACAACUCACCGAGUCAAAACUCGCUCUCACCACCGAGUCAAUCAUCCUCUCUCUUAAACAUGAGUCUCCUUGCUAUCUCCUCACCCCUGACCCCAGCAAUUUAAGUACAUAACUCGUCGAAGAGAAUCAUCAUUUUGCCUCACUCCUCCUUCUAAUCCACAACUCCCAAAAACUCCACCACAAUCCGAUUCAACUGAACCAGCAAGUGGCCGGAUCUCCGUGGCAUCUCCUCGGGAGAACACCCUCAUCUUACCUUGUUGCAGUGAUUUUAAGUUGGAUUUCCACCCUUGAUCAGGGUGCCUAACUGCAGCCACGGUAGCUGCCACCCAAACUCUGUUCAAAUAACUCAUUUUCCAGGCCUUUCUGAUGUAUCGGCAGAAAAAAUUACGGUGGGAGGAAUUUUAAGUUUGCUUGAGUGCUUGGAGGGAGGGCUGGGUGUGUGGCUUUAUAGAGAGAAAAGUGCUUGUGGUUUUUGUAAAACAGGAAGUGGUUUUCUUUGAUAAAGUGGUUUGGGAUAGGAAUCAUUUAGUGGUGGGCCUGAGGAUCGAGGUUUGAUGUUUUGUACAGAAGUGAAGUUUUUAUCACGAGAAAUUGUGUAUUGAUGUCCUUGAAAUUUUCAAAUGUCUAAAAACUUUUGUAUUUUUUCUAUAUAUUUUAAUGAGAUUUUAUUUUGAAUGAGUAUAAUUAUUUUUU